rnacentral:lncRNA from 1 species
AUUUUCCUAAACUUGAAAGGUUAGUGUUGCGAAGCUACCAGCUUUUGAAGAUCGCUUCAGAUUUAGAGUAUUGUCUGUCUCUACAAAAGAUUGAGAUACAUGGUUGCAAAAAAUCUAUUGAAGACUCUGCUUGGAAGAUUAAAGAAAUGCAAAAUGAUUAGAAAAAGGAUGUUGUAGUCAUUAUCUAACACUCCAAACGAGUUUUCUUUCUGGUUUAUAGGGUACUCUUGUAAUCCAGAGUGUAAAGACAAUACUCUAAUUCAAACAAUAAAUUUGUAGAUACAAAUGAUACUCUAAAUCAGAAGGGAUCUCCAAAAACUGGCAGCUUUGCAACAUUAACCUUUCAAAUUUAGGAAAAUGAUCGUUCGAGGCAUUCCAUUGUUCAAUUUGUACUUCAUCUAGAUCAAAAAAUUUAAGUUUUUUUAAUUUACCUUCAUUUGUGUCCCAUCUUUUUUUCUCAAUGGUACUGUCCCGUAACUUGAGAACCUAAAGCUCAGGUAAUUUUUCAAUUAUCUCCAUUUGUUUCAAAAUAAAAUUAAAGUCACUGAGAGUCAACAUUUUCAAAUUCAAGGGUAAAUUGGUCAAAUCGAGACUGGUAUCAUCUAUAACAUAACUCCAACGGAAAUAUAUGAUGAGUGAUUCUAGUUGACUAAGGAAAUUCAAGAUAGUAUAGCGAUAGUUAUUUUCUGAUGGAUCAAAAAAUACUGCAAAUCUGCAUUUCAGUCUUCGGAGAUUAGAUGAGUAUCUCAAGAUUUUAUCAUCAUUUUUAUCAUAAAUGGAAACAAAAGAAAUUCUUUGUAGGCUACUUUCUAGGAAUAUCUCACCCUUAGCUGCUCGCCCACGCUAGAAUUUACUGAAUUGUGCACCACCACUAAAAUACGCGUCUUAACUUCACCAUAUUGAAAAGGUUCUCUUGUAUUUCAAAUUUUUCACUAUUAUCCACAAAAAGAAAUUCUAGGUUCUCAAAUCUCUCUAUUGAUUAUGGUAUAGAAGAGACUACCAAGAACUUUAAGAGAACCAAAUUCUCUACUUGUGUUGAAUUAUAAAAUCUGCAGUCCAUGCCUGACAAAUCCAAUACCUUAUAAGAAGUUUCAAGUUGCCAAAAAUGAAUAUGGAGGGAUCAAGUAAAUGUCGUAAUAGGGAUCGAACAUGUAGUCCAAACAGUCUCGAAAAAGAAGGAAUUGAGCGAGUGAAUGCUUAGGCAUUGCUAUUGCUCGUAUAUUGACAGUUGACUGAAGAACCACAAUGUAACAUCAUUGAGCAUUACAAGAUAAUAGCAUCAAAUCAUCACCGGCAACAUUGACAUGAUCACCAUAUGGUCACAAUCGUUAGCAUGCAAAGGUAUAAACAAAAACAAGACAAAAGGCAAAAGGAAGGAGAGAGGGGGGGCAGAGGAGAGAGAGCUUACUUUUGGAAUGAGUUGUCCUUGAACAUAGAACAUUCAAAGCUUUCGUCGUUGAAUCGAUUUUCAAGAAGUUUCCUAAGAUUGUUGGUUGAAGGAGCCAUUUCACGCCCUCCUUCUGUCAUUUGGAUUAACAAACAAUAAUCUAAUAAGGGAACAGAAAACUUGGGUUGAAUUUUUCAAGCCUAUGAAAAUUAUUGAGCAUAAAAUUUUAAAAAAAUAAUAAUAAUGAUAUUUAGUACCAUUAAAAAAAAUCAUAUUCAACUUUUAAAAAAAAAUGUAAAAUCACUUUUAAUGUGCACUUUCCAUUAGAUUCACAAAUUCUUCCCACUUUCAUUUUUAUCUAUUAUACUUGAAAAUGAUUUAAAAUAAUUUUGAUACAUAACAGAAAUUGUAAAUCAACCAAAUUGAACGUGGAAAUUUUGUGUAGUUUUUCUUAUAAUUUAUGUAUCUUAGAAAUUGCAUCAUUUUCAAUCACACAUUCACAAAAUAAAAUAUUCUAUACGUAUACUAAAAUUUAUUUCCUUGUUUUUAACACCACAUAAUCCUAAAACUCACUUUUCAAAAUUAUUUUUUAUACAAUAAUGAUUCUCAAACAUUCGCUGUAUUUCCACUCAUCAAUCAAAACCCUUUUUAAAAUCAUUAGCUACUCUAAUUUUACAUUUUCCAAUUUUGCAAGAGAAGUAAAAUUAAUAAACAAACUUCAAUGCCAUUUGACAUAGUUUUUGCUUCUACCUUUACUUCCUGCAGAAGAGUGUUUGGAAGAAGCUAUCUUAAUUUUUAUUUAGAAAUUCAUUUUUAUUCCAGAAGUAAUCUUAUAAAAAGUCAUAUUGGACAACUUCAUCUAAAAGUUCUUCUAAAUACCAAAAGCACUUUCAUAAAAUUAGUCAAAUAAGUCCAAAAGCAGUUUUUGUGUCUAAAAAGUUCCUUUUGACAUUUUAAAAACCAUGCCAAAUGGAUCCUUCAUGUCAUAUAUAGAUCCAGAAAUUGCAAGAAUCCAGGGCGGAUCCAAGAAACAAGGACACAGGGGCUAAUAUUUAAGGAAGUCUAUUCAAUUUAUUGUUUAACAGCGUUCCCAAACAUAAAUAUUGCACAAGUAUUAACUAGUUUCCAUCUAGUUUUAAGUCCAAUCAAACAAGCUUGUUCAAGAGUUUAUUUUCAAAUUCCAAAGAAACAGGAUACAAUUUCACCCAUUAUUUGACGUUUGUCCGUAGGUCAUCUCAAUACAAAAUAAAUAACACACUCACCACUCCCUAAUACAUCACAAUUCAGAAAGAAAAGGAUCCAACUUCUCUAAUUAACUAUGCUUGUCCUUAGGUCAUCAUAAUACAAAUAUGAAUAUUCUACCAUUUCAAAAUUGGCCCUUCCCCCUCCUUCCCAAUUCACAAAAUGACAAGACUUCAUAGGCAUCAAAGAUUCAAAAUUCCAUAGUGUCCUACCAUUUCACCUGUCCACUCAUCUCAAUGAACCUCAUUCAUGCAUUUUUCCAAUUCACUUAUGGAUUGAUUAAAUUUUAAAAUGUAAGUUAAGCCAAAGCACAAAGAUCAAAUUGAAAUAGAAGGAAUACUAUCCAAACAUGUCAUAGUUAGCUUGAUCUUUCCACACACCAAAACACAAAUCAAAAGGAAUUUAAAAAUUCUGGAAAUCAUAAUUCAAAAAUAAUCAUAUGCUAGAAUUUAGUUCGACUGUUAUAUCAAAAGGACAUAUAAUAUAAGAAUAACAAAAUCAAGUAGAAGUCACAUUUUUAACAACCCUGUCUUAAAAAAUAACCCUCAUAUAUAGUUCAACAGCCACAUAUCAUCCCUAACCUUUAUAAAUUGGCCAUUUUCCACUCUUCUCCAAUUUACAAAAUGACUAGCCUCUAAAUGCAUGAAAAUUCAAAAUUCAAAACCACAUUCACCACCAAAAAAUAUAAAAACAAUGGACAAGAAAUAAAUCUUACAAAGCCUAUCUUGGAAUGAUUGGAAGCAAAUUCAUAGAAAUUGAGACACGGUGGUGGAUACAACGAUAUAGGUGAGCUAGGGCGGCCGCUGACCAACAGCCAACGAUCGCAAUAAUGAGAUUGUUUAUUAACAAUUAAUUGAAUAAUAUAAAAAAUUCUUCAAUUUAUAUGUAUAUGCACUAAAUUAUCAUUUAUCACAAAUCACAAAUUCCCCCAUCUAUGAAAAUGUAAAACAAAGUAAAUUUGUAAAUCAUUUCUAAUUUUAAAUCAAAAAUCUCCAAUGCCAAACAAAACUAGUGUAUAUGCUGAUGCACACCUAUAACGGAUUAUACUAUCAAAAUAAAAUGAUGGCAAAUCAAGAAACUUCACUUCUUGAGACAUAUCAAAUGGGGUGUUGAUUUAUGCUUUUAUAAAGACUCAAAUCUAUGAGUAUAUAAUGAUAUCCAGCAAAAGGAACUAUCCAUUUCCAAGCCAUGAUUCAGAGAAUUGUUUUAAGUUACCUGGGCUGAAUAAGUUUGAGGAUAAGUCCCAUAAGCAGCACUUUGGGGCACUGAUGUAGGUACUUGCUGAUGUGCAUAAUUUGUUCCAUAACAACCAUUUGCAUAUGCAGCCUAAAUAUUCAAAAAGAAAAUAAGUGUCCAAUAGGCAAAGUAUUGCCAUGCAUAAAAUCAAUACAACUAGAGAAAGCAAAACCCAUAACAAACUAGAACUGUGGGUAGGAAAGUCACUAUAAAAGCAAUGGUUCCAGUUAAAGGUAGAACACAAGGAAAUAGGCAAGCUCAACAACGAAUCAAGUCAGCCUGGUCAGAGAUACUGUGAGGCUUUCGAUGAAAAUUACCCAAAUCUAGCAUUGACGUGAUAUGUAUGUAUAGAUUUCAUUGAUUACCAGAAUUCUAUGAUACUGAUAAGAAAAAUAUCAAAGCCAAAAGAAUCAUCAUUAUAGCAAAUAGAGUUGAUCUGAACUUGUAUCAAUUUGUAGAGUUUAGAAGGAUAACAUCAAGAAGUUUCUAGAUUUUAUAGUCUUUGCACACAACAAAAAAUAUUUAAACCUUCUCUAGAUCCGAAAACAAUGGUUUUGGAUGUAAUCCAAUUGUAAUGCCAAUAACAUCCUUUCCAUACAAAGUGAAUGCCAGUCACCAAAAAGCAAUAGGAACAAAAUGAAAUUUAAUAACAAAGAAAUAAAAAUUGUUAAAACACAUUAAUAUAGGUCGUUAUCAUACAACACACACAACCUGCCCAACCGAAGCAAAAUUUCAUAAAUCGUAAACCUCAACAGCAGGCUCAUAGUCAUAAAACAUAAAUCAUAGAUAAAUAAAUCAUAAACAUUCCCAAUAAAAAUGGCAUCAAAAAAUGAACUAAAAAAUAAUAAAUAAAAUAAAAGAGGCUCACACCGCGGCAAGUAGUGGUGGAGGGCGGAGGCUCGGCAUCGAUAUAUCAAACUCACAAGGCUGAAAGCUCAGCGUCCACUGUGCAAUCAGAGGAAGCUAGGGCUUUUUUGCUUUGUUUGAUUUUUGCAAAAUUCGUAUAGAUACAAAGCAGCAGCUAAGCUGGUAUACUGUAUUCGUAAGUUACACACAAUUGAGGGCAAGUAUAUUGUAUUGUUGUAUAGGCAUACAAGAGAGACAAGAGCGUAGAGACGGUGAGAGUCGAGAGGUGGUGAGAUGUCUCCGUUGGAUUUGGGGGACUUAGAUGGGUUUUAACAUUUUUUGCAUAAUACAAUCAAGUGAAGCUUUAUUCCGACAAAUAAAAGUCAACGAAAAUAAUAAUAAAAAAGUCGAUACAAAGAUGAGAAGGAUUACCGUUUUGGAAUCUAAAUAACAAAAUCUGUUUUGAAAUGCUUUCCCAAGAACAACUGAGCGGAGCAGCCGGAUUUUGUUUGGCUUCGAUGUGAAAAAGUAGGUUAUGUGAUUUACAGAUUUUAUUCAAUGUGAGAGAAAAAGUAACGUGUUGAAAGGAGGCUGUCCUUUAUUUGAAUGUGCGUAAAUGAAGUGGUUAGGAACAGCAUUGAAUAUUGAUUAAUUAAUUUGAAUUGCUUUUUAAAAACAUUAGCUACUCUAGUUUCACGUUCUCCAAUUUUGCAAGAUACGUAAAAGUAAUAAACAAACUUUGAGCAUGUUUGAGCCUCAUUUUCUAAAAAUAAUGUAUUUUGAAAUGGAUAAUUGGCAAAAAAAAUCCUUCUCUUUCAAUAUUAUUAUUCAAAACGUCCUAACCUUUCAUUGUUUUGGUAUUUUCACCCCUACUUUCAUCUCACAUUGCGGAAAGGUCUUUUUCAUCCAAUUUCUCAGUUAAAAAAAAGAAGUAAUUAGCACAAAAUGUCCUUACCUUUCAAUAUUGUUGUGCAAAACGUUUUCACCUUUUAUUUUUUUUGAAACUUUUACCCUUACAUUUACCUUUUUAUUGCAAAAAUUAUCAUUUUCAUCAAAUUUCUCGUAUAAAAUGACAAAUAUACCCACUACUUAAAUAAAACAAUAAAAAGAAAAGAAAAGCUAAAGAAUAAAUUGUAAUCAUACUCCCAAACUUUUUAAAAAGUGCAAAUGAGUUCAAAUAAAUUUAGUAUAAUUGCAGCAGAAGUCCCAAACCUUUGAAACAUCAGCAGACUUUUACGAAACCUUUGAUUUAUUACAGUCGUCACCUCUAACAUUUCCAAACGUUGCAUAUGAGGUCCUUUUGGACAAUUUUUAUCCAAAAUUCUAUCAGUUGAUCAGAAAAAUAAAUUUGACCAUAUUUUAACAAUUUUUAAUGGGGUAAAAUGUUAACUUUAAGAUACUGCAUUUGAGAACCUCCUACUUGAAGGUUGCGGCGAUGGAGGUGACAGUGAUGCCACCAUUGGCGCGUCCUCUUUAGUUCUUGGAACAUAAAGACACGUAUUUAGCUUCAAUCCAAGAGCCAUCUACGCAAAUGAAUCAUUGUCACCUUCUUCGUUAUCCACCCAUUUCGAGGUCAAAAUACUCAUCAAAACACUAGUCAUAUCGCUAAUUCAAACCCUAAUAAUUAAAAAUUGAUGAAUACCUAUUCUUUUUCUUUCAUUUUCAAUCUCCUACUAGAAAACAACACACAGGCCUCAACAGGUGGUUCAUCUGAUGAGCCCCUUUUUGUAUAUGGAUAUAAAUUAAAAAGAAUAACCAAAUCUUUAUCAUGGAAGCUUGAUCUUGAACCGAAAUGAAGUGAAAUUACAGAAAUUUUUUAAUAGGACGAUGGGUUUUUGGUACUUGGGACAUAAAGACACGUAUUUAGCUUCAAUCCAAGAGCCAUCUUCGCAUUGCUUCAUUUGCUCCCACCAACCAUUUUUGCAGCUUUCACCGCCUAAACCAAAGUUCAAGAAGCACCAUUUUUGCAUUUUCAGUUUCUCUGUGUUCUUAGGGAUGGGGUGGAUUUGGGAUGGGUUAAGGAAGAAGACAAAUAUCAUUAUUUUGUUUUUUUAUUUUGAUUUUAAUGUAAAGUUAUCAUUUCGCCCCUUUAAAAAAUUUUAAAAUAUGGUCAAAAUCAUUUUUCUGGUCAACUGACGAAUUUUGGAUAAAAACCGUCCAAAAAAGGCCUCAGAUGCAACAUUUGGAAAGGUUAGGGAUGACAGCUACAAUAAAUCAAAGGUUUGAAAAAAGUCUAUUAAUUGUUUCAAAAGUUGGGGUUCUGCUGUAAUUAUCCCUAAUUUAUAUUAACUCAAACAUAUCACAACCUAUAGGACAACACUGAAGAAUGCAUGAAUGAUGGCUUUGCGAACGGGGGAGGCAUCAUCAGGAACCACACAGGAAAAUGCAUAAGGGUGUUCUCAACAUCAUAUUGAUUGUGCAAGAUACUAGAAGUAGAGUUUAGGGUUGUUCUUGAUACGAUUGGUUAGAAGUCUUGGAUUUUUAGACAUUUGGGCUGAGGUAGACUCUAGUGUAGACAUUCGCUACAUUAUUAAAGGUGGAGGACCAUUAGCUAUUCAGGGCAUACUCGAAAAGAUUGCAUACUUCAUCUCAUUCGAUAAAAACAUAGUUUCCCACAACUACAGAGAAGAAAACCAGGUUGUCGAUGCUCUUGCAGCAAAUGGUUGGAAUCACCUACGAUAUCAAACAUAUGGACAAGCUGACCUACCACGACAUAUUAGAGCACUCCUACAGGUAGAUAGACAUGGACUACCCAGCAUUAGAAUAUGAAUUGUAAUUUUAUUUUAUUCUUGCUUUUGUCUUUGAUUGCAUAUUGUAAGGGAAAUAGUAUUUCCUCUUUACUCUUUUACAUUUUUUUUAGCAUUUACUUUUAUUGUAAGGAAGGUAGUCUUCCGCAUUUACUGCUUUCAUUAUUACCACAUAUAACCAUGGUAUUCCUCCACCACAAGUAAAGGAAAACUAAUAAAAUCUCGGAGGUAUCGCACUCCUUUAACUAAACAAAAAAAGCUCUUGUUUAUAUUCAUUAGCUUGACUAUGGCAAUUGUUGUCGAUUUCAUAUCCACUAGUAUACGAUUUCAACAAGUAAUAAAGGAGAUCUAAGAGUAAAAAAUAUCAUUCCAUGAGAAUUGCUAUCUCAUCGUGGUUAAAGUAUUCAUAACUUCAUUUCGAAUGAAAGCUAUCUUGUUGUGAUUUUUUUUUUAAAUAUACUAAAACAAUAAAACAUUAUUUUCUAUAUGAUGGUUUAAGUGUUAGGAUUCAUGAUUUCACAAUAGCUAUCCACUUUGUUGACGUAAAAAACUGUAAGGGUGAUUCUUUGGCCAACUUUUAAGCUAAAAAUGCAUGUUUAUUGACACCUCCUAAACAAAAGCAUGUAGUAAUUCCUCAUGUAGGAGAAAUGGUCAAGGAUAGUGUGUUUGGCUCGAAAUUGUGAAGUAAGUCUCCCCUCCUCCAAAGUGAGAACAUUGAUCUCUAUUUAUAGUGAGGAUGAGCUUUCUAUUGGCCAACAUGAGUCUUAUCAAUCAAAUCAGCUACAUUGCUAAGCUUAGGAGGCGUACCAAUGAUAUCAUCUCUAAUUGGCCGUAAUGGUUGACCGUCAUCAGAUCAUUAUAGUGUCGGCUCUGUUGCUCAUUAGAAACUGAUGAGCUAACAUUGAAUACGGAGCCCUUGUGACUAAUUGGUGGAAAAGGAGGUGUUGAGAUCAAAAUUGUUAGGUGUCCUUUGUUAAUUGGUAAACUGGCUGGCUUAAUAGUAUGUCUGAGGAGUUGUAAUCAUUAUGCUUCUAGAUUACGAUGGCCAUGUGGCCGAGCUUGUAGAAGUGGUCCUAUCUAAACUCUUAAAGAUGGCCUUGAUUAUCUAAGGAUACUAUAAUUAUUCGAGAUCAGAGGUCGCACUCCAACACACUUAAUCAUCAAUUUGUAUACAAUUGAAUAUGUUUACCCAAAUUAAUUUUUCUAACAUAUUCAAUUUACAUUUUUCGAGUUCAAAUUGAUUUUAUUUUACUAAGUCAAUUUUAUAUCUUUAUGUGAAUCUGGGUAUACCUUUAUAAAAUGCAUUAAUUCUCUAAGAAUCAAUGUAACGACCAUAUUAGAUAGAGAAUGUAGUUUCCAACUACUACUACGUGGUCUAAACAAAUAAUCUACCUCUUGAUGUAAGUAUAGCUCACAAAACCAAUGAAUCAAUGGCCAAUUAAUCCAAGCAUUAAGAACAUAAACAAAAACAAUCCACAACAUCAAUUGAAAAUUUAAACAUUCAAAUUAAAACUAAGGUUUAAAACUAGGUUACAAUCCUUCUUUAUAACUAAAAUAUUAAUGUCACAUCAUGGGAGAAGAAUAAAACAAGAAUGAAUCAAAGUACAUCAUCAGAUUUUAAGGAAAAAUGGGAAAACAAUAAAGAUCUUGUACCAAGAUUCCGCCUUCUUCUUGUAAAAUCUUGAAAUCCUAGCUUCUUGAUUGAUUUCUUGAUUUUCUUUCCUUUUGGGCUUGUAUAAUAUGCACACAAUGAAUCCCUCAGGAUUUAACUUGAAUAUGUUCUAAUGAAAUCCCACAAGCCUUGAAUUGAAUAUAUGUGUAUAAUGAAACUCUACAAGCGUCCUUAAAUUGUUGGACUAAGGCACACAUUUAUAGAACUAGAGGUAAAAUUCAUGUUCAAAUUGGUUUCUACAAAAGAGUUUGAGAAGAAAUAAGAAACAAUUAUUUUUUGGAUUGAACUUUUUUUCUCUUUCAAAUAUAGUCCUUCAUCUUAUAAUAUUUACGAUUUAGUUCCCUUCAUUCUAAAAUCAUUAUAGUUGACCCAAUGCAAGUUUCUAAAGUUUGUAACUGAGUCUCAAACUUUUCAAUUGUCGAAGUUAACUCACGAAACCUAUGAAUUUUUACCUAAUGUUCCAUUAAUAUUUCCAAUUGUUCUCUUGAAAUUUGGUUAAUCUACAAUUGCUUCAAAUCAACUCCAAUUAAACUCUAAAUAACCUCUUUUCACAUAAAUUAUAUCCAAGUUGAGAUUUUUGUACAAUUAACAUGAUGUACACAAAUUAAGUAUAUAUUUGCUCGAUUUAUAUAUAAAUCAAUAAGAAUAAAAGCUCGAAUAAGUGCAUAAAAUGCUUUUAUCAAAUACAUCCAAACUCAAAAUCUUGUUGAUCCAGAGCAAGUCUAUCUACUAAACACAAGCGAGCAAGCUAGCAAGCAAAUAAAAAUAUAAAUGUAUUAAAUAACUUUGCCAAACUCGCGUCAAGUAUUGAAAUCAUUUGAUAAUUCAUAUAAAUUUCAUAAGUAAUGUAAAUAAAAUUAAUUCUUUACUCAUUCUAUGCUCAACCAAUGUGUGUGCUAGUCAAUCUAAUUAUCAUGCUUUUAAAUUGUUCAUUAAGAAUAGAAGAAAAAAAUAAUUCACAUCAAUUGGAGAUUUGAAACUUUUUAAUUAGCAUUAAGGUUUAAAACUAGGUCACGUCCAAUCAUUCUAACUAAAUAAAUAAUUACACAUCAUGGAGAAGAUAAGAAUAAAAUAAAAAACAUCACAGGGUUUUAAGGUAAAGAGGAAAAAGAUGAAUUCCACUUCUUCUCGAGAAACCUUGAAACCCUAGCAUCUUGAUUGAUUUCUUGAUUUUCCCUUCUUUUGGGUUGUAUAAUGUGUACAAUGAAUCCCCAACCCUCGACUUGAAUAUAUGUAUCUAAUAAAUCCUACAAGCCCAUGCACAAAUAAAUGUGUACAAUGAAACUCUACGCCUCCUCUAAUUGUUGGACCAAGGCAUAUAUGUAUAGAACAAGAUUUAGGUAAGAUCCUAGUUCAAAUUGAUUUCUACAAAAGAUUUUGAGAAGAAAAAUGAGACAAUUCCCUCUUUCAAUUGAGGAUGCUCACAAGGAGUCUCAUGCCUUGAUGUGCCUCUACGACCUUGCCCUCUAUCACUUGAGUAUGGAGACUUCUGGCUGUUGGAUCCCUUAUGUAUCAUACCUUGUAAUCUCGUAGCUUUACCAUCCUUAUCAUGAUCAGUACUAUUAUGAAUUUUACACAAUUUUAACUAACAGUUGUCAGGGGACACGUGCUUUGACUGCUAUAGCUCAAGAGAUCGCAUGUACUUUUUUUAUGAUUGAUGAGGCUCGGAUACUGAUACGUCAACAAUAUGGCGUAUACAUUGAAGUCUUUCCUUUGAGAACUCAUCCCGGCUCCACCUUCUUCCGAUUCUCAAUUAUAUUUUUAGUCUAGAUCCCAUUAUGAAUCAAACUUACUAGCUAAUGGUAGAAGGCUGAAUUUUUGUUACGAACAUCCCGCUAAAAGGAAGUCUCCAUGAGUAAUCCGUUCUAUAAGGCAUCCAUAGCCUUCUCAAUUGAAAUCAUUUCAUAAUCAAUCAACUCCGUGUUAAAAUGUGCAAAGUAGCUCCUAAGGGAUUUUCCCUUAUGUUGCUAAGCCUAGUAGUUGGGGCUUGUCCCAUUUAGCUUCAUGCAAAUGCCCCUAGGAAAACUUGCUUUAACUACAGUCAGCUUCGAAUUGACCUCAACGACAAUUUGCUAUACUAGUGCUUAGUCAAUAGACGAAAGCAUUGCCAUUUCAGUACAGGACUUGUUUUAUUCAAUUUCCUUUGUGCCAUGUAUUCAACAAAAUGAUACAUCAGAUCUUCUUCGCCAUAGUUUUGUCCGUGACCAAAUUGUUGAACUGGUCUUGGAUUGGCUCAUCUUUGAUUUCUCGAGAGAAUGUGAGAUGUUCAUCAUCAUCAUCCAAUUCAUAUGACCUAGUAAGUCAAUCUUCAUAUUCUUCAUCUUGAGGAGUGUUGUAUGAGGUAUUAAAGAAACUUUCAACUCUUGACCAUCACGACGACUAUUUCUCCGAUCCUAAGAAGUGACAUCUUUAAGAAACCUCUCUUUAGCAAGCAUAUUUCUGCGUAGCCACUUGAAAGGACUUUUUGGCCUACUAUCACGGGUAUUUUAUUCCUCUACACUGGAAUUAUCAUGGAAAGAGCUAUUAAAAGGAUUAGUUUCAUUCUCUUCCAACUUCUCCUGUAAGCCUUUUUUUUGUAGCAUUUUCUAUUUUCGCUAGUAGAAAAGCAUUUUCCGCCAUCAGCGCUUUCAAGCUUUCCAUCACCUCUUGAACAAUUUUGCAUACAACAUUUUCUUCUGCAAGUGGAGACGCUGUGCGAGAAAAAUACCGGUCUUCACUUCAGUUGACAUUUUUUUUUCUCUCUACCUUUUAAGAUUAUGUCACUAUCUGGACAGUCGUUGCAUUCUCUUACUUCCAUCACUCAUGCCUUCACCUCUUCCAAUUUCUCUCCAGUUUGACCCGUGAUCUCAAAUUUUUAGAGUAAUUAGAUUUUUUUUCAAACGUGAUUAUAUUUUAUGGUUCACUUUGUUCAUUAUUUUUUUACAGUUGACAAUACAAAUUGAAUCAAACAAGUUUAUUGAUAAAAUAAUUACAAUCAAAUACUAAUAUAAAUACAAUUAACAUAUCCUUUCACCUAGCGAUGACUUUCUCCUCCUAAAUUCACUAGUUUUGAUACUUCAGCUAGAACAAGUGGAGAAAUAGCUAAUUAAGAUAGAGAUACUUGAAUUGCAUGCCCUCUUCUUCAAAUAAGGGGGAUAUUUAUAGAUUUUACUCCAAGCAUUGGGGAUAGUUUGGUCAUUUUGAGAGAAUGAUAUGUGGCAGUCCUUUAUUGGCUAUCUUAUACCUGAUUUGGUUAAGAGUUACGCUCUACUCACUUGACCACGUGCUCUUUAGUGAUAGCCUGUAGUCAACCUAGAUAUGGCUCUUCGCGUUGUUUUACGCCUUUCCAUCAACUAGGUUCAUUGACUGUAUUUCUAGGGUUAAAUAAGAUAAUGAAACAGGAAGAUGGAUACCAAGCAAACUGUCUUGAGAAGUUAGUGGUGGAGUCAGAGGGGUCCUUGUGAUUGGACUGGGUGUGGUUGGUUGCUGAAGAUGACAUUUUUUUCUUCACUUCUAUAUUUUUUCUUCAUUUUUUUUUUCAGUUUGGUACAUAUUUUAUUACUUCUAUAAUAUAAUAGAAUUUAAAGAAAAAUGGUAAUAUUUAUAUAAUUGUUAUUUGACUAAAAAUUCCAUUGGAAUGGUUUCUUGUGGUGUACAAAAUUGUGUCCUACUUUAAAGAAAAAAGGAGGUUUAUGAAAUCGUUUAAGUAUUUUAAAUUUAUACAAUUAGUCCUUGUUUGGUAGGAAUUAAAAUUAUACUUUUACUAGAUUUUGUCAAUAGUUGAUAAAAUAUGUGAUUGAAAAGUUUUGUCUCCCAUAAAAUAUGUGGUUAAAAUAAGUUAUUGAUUUUUUACUUCCAUAAAAAUCUAGAUUUUAAUCUUUAUCAAACUGGGGCUUAAUAUUGUUCUAUGACUUAUUGGUUUCCAAAACAAAUAUGUAUAAAUUUGGUGGUUAUUGAACUCCAAACCAACUUAAAGUAUCAUUUCAUGUUUCAUAUCUUUAACUUAUUUAAAUAGCUUUAGUAAUUUGAAGGAAAAUAAAACCUCAUAUUAGAAUUUGCUAUGACUUGAAUUCUUUGUUGAAGAGUCUAAUUAAAGCGCACAUUAAGAAGAAUUCUAUUUUGGAUGCUUUUAGAAUCCUAUUCAAAGUAUAUUUGAUAAAUUCUAUUUGAAGUUCUAUUUAGAAAUCGUAUUGGGAGUUAGAAUUUGGAUUGGACUUUAAGAGAUCAAGAUAAGGAAACUUUUGGGUAUUCUAUAUGUGUGUGUGUGUGUGUGUGUGUGGCUCUUCUCUACAAUUUAGUUAGGUUGUUUAAUUUCAUUAUAAGUUAGACAAAUUAUAAAUACAAAACAUUUGUAUUCUUUCUUCAUAUUAUAAUAAAAUCGCCAUUCUCUACAAAAUUACAUUUUUCACGUGUUCUUGUUAUCAAUUACUUUAUAUUAUGGCCAUAAUCCCUUAUUUUCUCCAAAAAUUUGGUAUUGGAUUAAUUCGGUAUCAUCUUCGUUUGACAACAAACUAGCAUUAGAACUAUUCCGCUUCUAACAAAGUGGUUCUAGAUCUAGUUUGGAUUAUAACAACUAGUGUCAAAGCUCGGGCUGAAUUCGUAGGGAGAUUUUGUUUUUGGUAUGGCAACCAUGAAGUUUGAUGUUUUGCUAUUGGAUUGCAGCAUUUUCAUUGUGGAAGGUUAGGAGGUAAGCAAUGCUCACUUAUAUGGGAUUGAUUUUUCCCCGCUUCAUAUUUUUUGUUUUUAGACAAGAUCUUGUACAGUCGUGAUCUCUCCAAAGAAGAUGAAGCAUAUUGCUGAGAUUUAUGAAGAUGACCUUGUUCUUGAUGGUGGAUAUGCAAGGGGCGAAUUAAGGUCUAACUUCAAAAUUUAUUACAAGAAUUCAAGGCACUUAAUUAAUGAUUACUACAAAUUGGGUAAGAGAGAAAAUUCGGUUGCAACAUUUCGGAAGGGAAAGCACUUAGAAAUUUCAGGAGAAGCAAGUAUUUCAAUAAAUCCUAGUAUUGAUGGAGAGCUUUUAGUUAUGUCUGACUUCAACUCCAAACUUGACGAGCCUUGGAUUUUGGAUAUAGCUUGCACUUUGCAUAUGUAACCCAAAUGGGAAUUGUUUUUAGCAUAUAAGGAAGUUACAAAAAGUGUUGUGAUGACCGAUAAUAACACAUCUUGUCAAAUAGUUGUUAUUGGCCAGGCCAAAAUAAAGAUGUUUAAUGUGACGAUUAGAACACUUGAUACAGUGAGACACGUUCCAAAUUUAAAGAGAAAAUUUAUCUCCUUAAGUACUCUUGAUUCAAAAGAAUACAUAUACACAGUUGAAGGUGGAGUCCUGAAGGUUAUCAGAGGAGCCCAUGUUAUGCUGAUGGGACAUAGAAAAUCCCAUCUAUAUAUCUUGUAGGGUAAUACAGAAUCUUCUAGUCAUCAACAUAUUUUAAUAACUCCGGUGGAUUUGGAGUUGGUUUCUGUACCAUUGGAGUCCAAUUUUAGGUCUUCUUUUAUAAAUACAUCUCAUUUGAAUUUUGAAGAUAUGGGUAAAUCCAUCUUGCCACCAUGAUCAUCAGUGUCAUCUUAUUCAAUUGCUAGAUAUAGACCCAUUUUGGCCAUAAAAUUCCACAUAGGUACAAUUCUACUGAUUUUGUUGAUGUUUGGAAUACGGUCAAGGGUAGUGAUUCUAGCUAAGAUCUUUCUUUUACGUAUUCAGUUGCGAUUCUAUUACACAGCUUGUUUUAGCCUUGUAUGGUGGUCAUUAGAUCUCUUUUGCCCCUAGUUUUGGUAGCAGUGGUGGAGAAUACUUUAAAUUGGAAUUGUUGAUGGAGAAAUUCGUUUAUGCUUUUCAUUGAAGAGUUCAAAUUUAUUUCUUGUAGUGAAAUUCAUCUCCAGGUGGAGAAAAUUUUACGCUUUUUUCAUUGUAAUGGAAUUCGUGUUAACAUGGAGAUUGAUAGAAUUUGGUGUGAUUCAAAUUCUUUGUUGAAAAUAAUUAAGAGUUCUAAUUAAAGUAUACAUUAAGAUGAAUUCUAUUUGGAAUACUUUUGAAAUCCUAAUCGAAGUCUAUUUGACAAAUUGUUGUUGAAGUUGUAUUUGGAAGCUCUAUUAGGAAUUAGAAUUUAUGUUGGACUUGAAGAGAUGAUGAGAAGGUUUGGGCAUUAUAUUUCAUCUAUGAAUCUAUUUCUAAGGUUUGGAUUAUUCCUUAUAAUUAUUUGGCUCUUCUCUACAAUUUAGUUAAGUUGUUUAACCUCAUUAUAAGUUAGACAAAUUAUAAACACAAAAUCUUUGUAUUCUUUCUCCUUAUUAUAAGAAAUCCCCAUUCGCUACAAUAUUACAUUGUUCUUGUGAUCAAUUACUUUAUAUAGUGGCUAUAGUCUCUUAUUUUCUCUAAUAAUUUGGUAUUGGAUUAAUUUGGUAUCAUCUUCGUUUCACAACAAACUGGUACCAAAGCUAUUCCAUUUUCAAUGAAGUGGUUUCAGAUCUGGUCAAAAUUAUAACACUUCAAGAAUGUGAUGUAAAUUAUAAACAAUAGAGAUAUAAUCCAAAUGAUGGUGGAAAAAACUAUAGGUACAAAAAGUGAUGAGUAAGACAUAGGGUGUAUGUUUAUGAUAAAAUUUGUUACAUAAGUUAUAUACUAUUGACACGUAAAUUAUGAGAAAGAGUUUCAGUUUAUUGAAAUCAAGAUACAUGCAUGAGAAAUGAGCAAAAUGGAUGGCUUAAUGAAAUUUUGAAAAAGGAUAAUUAUGAGAUGAAAUUAAACGAGAUGCAAUUGUAGAUCUACUUAAGAAAUAUUAAUUACACGCAAUAGUGAUAUCAAGAUCAAAUGGCCUCUUUCCAUGAUACAAAACUUCUUAGAAAAUUAAUGUAGAACAAUAAUAAUUUCAUCAUAGGGAUGGCAAAAUAACCUGUUCAACCCAAUGCUCAGAAGAUUGCUUGAAUGGGUCUGGAUUACCCGUCUUAUCGGGUGAAUGGGGCGGGGACGAAAAAGUGGUCUUAAUACAAAUAUGAAUAAUAUACCAUUUAAAAAUUUACCCUUCCCCCUCCUUCCCAAAUUUUAAAAUGACAAGAUUCCAUAGGCAUCAAAGAUUCAAAAUUCCAUAUACUGUCCUAUCAUUUCAUCAGUUCACUCAUCUCAAUGAACCUCAUUCAUGCAUAUUUCCAGUUCACUUAUGGAUUGAUUAAAUUUCAAUUAAUAUAAAUUAAGCCAAAGUACGGUGAUCAAAUUGAAAUAGAAGGAAUACUAUCCUAACAUGCCAUAGUUAGCUUUAUCUUUCCACACACUAGAAACAUAAAUCAAUUGGAAUUUAAAAAUUCUGGAAAUCAUAAUUUAAAAACAAUCAUAUACUAAUAUUUUGCUCGACUAUUAUAUCAGAAGGACAUAAAAUAUAAGAAUAACAAAAUCAAGUAGAAGUCACAUCUUUAACAACCUUAUCCCUCUUCUUUUCAAAGAGAAAAGGCUGCAUUGACUAUUCAUUUAGGAAGUAUUCUUUUCCCCAUUUUAUCCUCAAAGAAACAACAAAAUAUUUUUUUACAGUAAUGGAUGUUAUAUGUAUAGUUAUAUAUCUACAUAUAUAACUAUAUGUAGAUAUAGUUAUAUAACUAUGUGUAUCUAUAUACACAAUAUCCAUGUGUGUGUAUUAUCUUUUUCUUUUUCUUAUGGUCAAAUUAUCAAUAAUUGGUCAAAAAAGUGAUGCAAAAAAGAAUGAUUAAAGGGGAUAAGAUUAAAUUAAAAAAAAGUCAGGCGGUGGAGACUUUGUAGGGCUAAAACAAAUUCAUAAUCAAUUGUUGGCAUAAAGAUAAUGAUUAAAGAUGAUAAGAUUUAGCCCCUGUUUGGCCCCCAUUACCUGAAAAUGGUAAUGGGGGGAAUAGUAUUUUUUAGAAAAAUAAGUGGUUGAAAAAGAAGGUAAAGUUUUCGAUUUGUGUAAUAUUAUUUUAUAGAAGAUUGUAUAGUUGAAAAUAGGAGAGAGAAAAAUGAAAUGUAAUGUAAUUUAAUUUAAUGUUAAUCAAACAGGGGCUAAAUGAAAAUGAAGGAAUAAAAGAAAUUGUUUAUUUCAUUAUUCAAAUGAGAAGCUCAAAGAAAUAAGUUAAUUAAUAAUAAAAUUAAUUUAUAAGCAUUUCUAACUUGAUUUUCAACCUAUAUUCAUCAAUGAAUGCACAGACCGGACAGAGAAGUCCUCAUGCAGCGUGGAGAGAGUGGGGAAAGACAGCUCUUCACGUUGCCUAGAGAUAUCUGGAGACUGUCUCCCUGCAGCGAGGAGACGCCUGGUCUCCGCGUUGCUCAGAAUGCCACUGUUACAAUUUUAAUUUCACACAACCAUCUAACCAUUGCUCUUCACAGCUAUAUCAUACAACUCUUUCACUCCGCAAAUGCGUUCCUUCCAAUUUUAUUGUCAUGGGUAACUAUUUAUUGAACCAUUUAUCUUUGAUUUUAUCUAAUUAGGCUUGUACUAGUAGGCUACCCAAGCCCAAUUGUUAUUUUACUCUAUAUAGGGUUGUAUGGUUAUGUUUUGGAGGGGUUGAACAUUGAAUUGAUCAUGGCUACUACGUUUUCUCUCCUUUUCUUUGGGAGGAAUUAGUGGCCAACAGCCGAUUGACCCGGCCAAUUUUCCAAAAUCGCCUUUGACCAGUAAAAAAAAAAAGGCAAAAUUAUUUAAAAGAGUGAAAACCAAAAAAAAUGAAGACAAACCCAAUUUUACCCCUCACCAAGGAAAAAGAAGCAAAGCCGAGAAGGAAAGUACUGUAGCAUAGUCGACCCAAUCACCGACAAAUAAGGAAAAAUAGGAGACCCAGUUGGUCAUUUCUCUCUGAAGAAGGUAAGAAAUUUAUACAAAAAAAAAUCAUAUUUUUAUUUUUAUUUUUGGAAAAAAGUAUGAUUUUAUAUAUAUUUGUUGAGAAAUCCUUGUGAUACAUGUGGAAUUUGGGUUGUUAUUACUUGGGAAGGAGUGGAGAUCGCCGGAAAUGAAGUUUUCCGACGAUCUCCUCGGCCGGAAAUGCCAGGCAGAAGCUGGGCACGCCGUCUGGGCGCCCUGUCCCCAAUCAACUGGGUAGCUAGGCCGGUCUGGGCCGGCCGUUAUUUUGGCAAUCGAUUUUUUUUCGGUAAUUAUUGAAGUUAAUUAAAUAAUUAUUAAUGGCUUAUAUUGUGUUCUCUAAUAUGUAAUUAUUUAUUUGAAUUGCUUAAUUUGAAUGUAUAUUAUGUAUUUAAAAUUAUUAGUAAAUAUAAGAUGUAAAUGUUAUAUUAUUUAUCGAAAUAUUUAUUAGUUGCUAAUUUAGAUUAAUUAAUUAUUUUAUAUUAAGUAAUAGUAAAAAAAUUAAAAGAAAUAAUAUAAUAUUAAAUAAUUAAUAUAUCUAAAGAAUUUAAAAAAAUAUUUAAACAUUUGUAAAAUAAUAAAAAUAAGCAAUUAAAUUUGAAAAUUAAAUUAGCAAAAAAAUUAAUUUUUUGAAAAGCAAUUAAAAUAAAUUUGUAAAUAUGAAAUAAGCAUUAUGCCUAAAGAAUUAAAAUUAGUAUUUAAACAUUCAUUAAAAUUAAAAAACUAAAUUAAGUGUUAGAAAAAUAAUUAAAAUAUUAAAAUAAGCAUUUAAAAACAAGUGUUACUAAAUUAAUUUUAAAAAAUGAAAUAUUAAAUAAGAUAUAUAUAAAGAAUUUAAAUACAUAAUUAAACAUUUGUAAAUAAUUAAAAUAAGUUUUAAAACUUCAUUAAAAAUAAAUAAAUAAAUUAACUGUUAGAAAAAAAUUAAAAUAAGCAAUUAAAAUAUCAAAAUAAGUGAUAGUAAAAUAAUUAAAAAAAUAUUUAAAUAAAUAAAUAAAUAAAUAAAUAUAUAUAUAUAUAUAUAUAUAAAUAUAUAAUUUAAAUACAUAUUUAAAUAUUUGUAAAACAAUAAAAAUACGCAAUUAAAUUUGAAAAUUAAAAUAUUAAUCAAAUUAAGUUUUUGCAAAGCAAUUAAAAUAAAUUUGUAAAUAUGAAGUAAGCAUUAUGCGUAAAUAAUUAAAAUAAGCAUUUAAACAUUCAUUAAAAAUGAAAAAGUAAAUUAAGUGUUAGAAAAAUAAUUAAAAUAUUAAAAUAAACGAUCAAAAUAAGUGUUAUUAAAAUAAUUAAUUACAUGUUAAAUAAGUAAUAUGCAUAAAGAAUUUAAAUAAAUAUAUAAACAUUUGUGAAAUAAUAAAAAUAAACAAUUAAAUUAGGAUAUGAAAAUGUCAAUUACAUUAAUUUUUUACGAAGCAAUUAAAAUAAAUUUGUAAAUAUGAAAUAAGCGAUAUGCAUAAAGAAUUAAAAUAAGUGUUUAAACAUUAAUUAAAAAUGAAAAAGUUAAUUUAGUGUUAGAUAAAUAAUUAAAAUAAGCAAUUAAAAUAUUAAAAUAAACGAUCAAAUUAGUAAAUUAAGUAUAUGAAAAAUAGUAAUAUACGUUAAUUUUGUUUAUUCCGUUAUCGGUUGGUUAUUGCAUCUAGUAGCAAUGUGUUAGUAUAUUGUUUUAAUAUUUUUGUUUAUCGAACAUCAUUUGCAUAGGGUUCUAAUAUUUGAAAUUUUGCAGGAUGAAAUAUCAUCUGGACGACGCUGUCAGACAGAUCCCUAACUUUACCAGCUUCGCUUUGGUAUUGGAUUUGCUGGACGACGAUCACGCAGAUAUAUUACGUCGACUAUGUUUAUGGCCCUUGUAUUCGUUGCGUGAUGUACAGUGGUCUGGGCAGCUGCUGGAUGCCCUGUUAUGUCGCUUGCUGAAGUUAGUUGACGGAGACGCCCUCCAUUUUGAUCUUGGGGGGCAAGGUAGCCACGUUCUCUAUAUUUGAGUUUGCCCUCGUCACUGGACUGCGAUGUACGGAAGAUGCAGAGGCGAAGGCCUGUGUUCCGAGGUGUGUGGUGGUAAUCCUCUAUGCAUAGCCACUGCCACUGCAUGUGUACACGGAAAACUCUCCAACUGAAACCGUCUGCACGUGCACGUGUUAUCAUUCAAGUCCACAAUGUAUCCGAAAUUACGUGCAUAUCUCACGGAGAAGCGAAAUUGAUCCAGUGGUUCUACAUAUACCUUUCUUGUCACAUCUAGAGUCUUGAAGAGCUUAUCUUCUUGAGCCGGGGUUAGCACACUUGCACAACUCUGUGAUUCCUCACGUCGAUCAUGAAAUCACUGUUGUAACUUGUCACGAAUGUUCUCAAUCAUUGCGAGAAUUGGUAACUCUCAAUCUUUCUUGAAUAAAGCGUUAAGCAACUCCGCAUUAUUCGACGUCAUCAUGUUGUAUCGACGUCCUGGAAAAUGUGAUCGUGCCCAAUGUUCAAUCCCCAUCUCUGUUAAAUACUCCCAUGCAGCAUGCGAUUUACUGUCUAUUUCGACCAUGAACUUAUCAAACUCUUGAAAACUGUAAGCCUCAGCAGCUCUUCUAAACAACGCAACGACGCCAUUGCCUCGAUACCUGGUCUUCAAGUUUCCAUGUAUAUGGUACAUACAAUAACCAUGAUGUGCCUCAGGGAAGACUUCGGCGAUACCAUUUAUUAUUGACUGCCCUCGAUCGAUUACGAAUGCAAGAUUUUCGACAUCUCCAAUUACUUCCAUCAACUUCGUGAAAAACAAACUCAUUGCUACAUCAUUUUCUCCAUCGACUAUGCCGAACGUAAGAGGGUAAAUUUGGAUGGUCGCAUCUUGGCAUGUUGCAAUAAUCAACUUGCCCCCUUAUCUCGCCUUAAGGGUUGUACCGUCGACUAAGAUUAGGGGUCGCAUUGUAUUUCGAAAUCCUUGAACACAUUGUCCAAGGGCCAUAAAGAAAUAUUUGAAGCGAUUUUCGUCAUCCUUCUCAAUAAAAAAUGCCGACCCAGUAUUAAUUCUUCCCAUGUUAUAGCAAUACCUGGCCAAUGUAAAUAAAAAUAAUCAUAAUUUAGAUAAUAUAUUAAAUAUUAAAUGAACAGAAAAAUAAACAAUUCAAUGAAAUAAUUAAUUACAUAUAAAUAAACAAUUGAAAUUAAAUAAUUAAAAUUUAAAAUAACAAAGAAAUAAACACUUAAAUAAUGAAAUACCUGGUUAAUUUAGCAUAACUCUCCUCAGUCGAACCCAUCAAAUCCUCCAAUGCACAUUUUUUAGCCUUCCAAGCCUUCUGAUAGCUCAUGACCACCCCGUACUCUCAUCGAACAUCAUUAAUGAUGUCCGAAGGUCUGUAGAUCGUUCGUGGAUCCUGAAACUUGUGCAUUAUUUCUCGACCAAUGAAUCAUGAUCGUGCCUGCCUAUGAUCAUUUCGACGAAUACCCACUUCGCAAGUAUGUUCCCGUGCAUACUUACGGACUACAAAGAACUCAUUCGUGUCCAUCUUAGUCGCUCGCAAACGCCAAUGGCAACUGUCGUCAAUGCAGAUAAUUGUGUAUGUCGACUUGUUUGAUUUUUUCACUUUAAACUCGAAGUUAUAUUUUAAAGCAAUUCGGUGCACAGCUUCUUGCAAUUCUUUCUUUGAUUCGAAUAGUUGAUCGACAUAUACAUCUUCAUCAUCGGGAACUACACGCGAACAAUUAGAAGACCGUGUACUCGGUCCGGCCUGUGAGCUCCCACCCGACUCAUGUCCCCUACGAGAUAAAUCAAUCAAAUCCUCGUUUGUAAAUGCAUUUUCAUUCUCGUUGUCUUCAACUAUCGAUGGAAUUCUGUGAGUAACAGUGUGAUCAUGGUGAGUAGCAGUGGUCUCGGUAAUAACCGCAUCAUCUUCACGAACAAUCUGAAUUGUAUCCCAAACAUCAUUUACAUUAUGAUUCUCUUCAUUUGAAACUUCGUGUUCACCUUCGUGGACAUUCUUCCCCAAUAAAGUUACGCAAAUAGGAGUCGACUUUCGGCCUUGGUUCAGUUUAAUUAGAUGUUUCAUUUCCACUUCAGAAAUAACUUUCAUAGGUGGAAUUGAAAUAGUUGAAUGCUUAUGAAACGAAAAUCCCAAUUCCAUAUCGUACUGAGAGGGAUCGACGUUAAGCAUGUUUUGUAUAUCACUGUACAUUUCUGCGAACGAUGUACUCCUUGUUAUAAAAAUCGCUUUAACCCCAUCUCCUUCACUCAUCCAUUUCCAUUCCCACUAGGCAUUUUCAUUCAUUUGAAAUUCACCAAAGUAACAAAUUGGGACACAUGCUGAUGUCAUAUCUGCCACAAAUUAAAAAUAAGGAAUUAAUAUAUAAUUUUUUAAAUUGUUCAUUUCAUAUUUAAUUUAAUUUAAUACUUUAAAUAAUUCAUUGAUUAUUUUAAUUGUUUCAAAAAUAUUUAUUUCAAUUAGUAUUUAAAUAUUCAUUAAUAUUUAUUUCAAUAAACAUAUAUUAAUGAACAAAUAAAUUCUAAAAUCUGAAAGGGAAGGGGAAGAGGAAGGGAAAAAAAAAAGGCUGGGUCGGAUGUUUCCAGCCGGCCUGGUUAUCUGGGCCGGCUGGACUGUUUCCAUCCGGCCCGGACAACUGGGCUGGCUGGAAACAUUUGGUCCAAUUUUUUUCGUCCGUUUCAUCUGAAAUUUACGUUCGAAUUUUUUAUUUUUUCCCUUUUUUAAAGAAAUAAUGUUUAAAUAUUUAUUUUACAGACACCUAUAAAUUUUUUCUGUAAAAUAUAUGCAUACAGAGAUGAAUUUUUUUGUUAUUUUUGCUAUAAAAAAAAUUAUAAAUCUGUGUUUAAAUACUGUAAAAUUCAUCUGCUUUUGUCAAAAAAAUGAUUUAAAGAUUCAAACAGUAAAUUUAACUAAAACAAAAUUAAAAAUACGUAUUUACACUUACCAAUUUUCAGUGCCGACUUUGAGUAUUGUUUUUUUGUUGAACCUUUGAUAAUUUUGGGAGAUUUCGCUAUUUUAGCAGAUGGAAGGAAAAAAUUCUUUUUUAUUGUAUUGAAGAAACUGAUAAGUAAAAUUGAUUUUAAAAUUUACGUAUGAAAAUAACUUAAUUUAUUUAAAUUAUUAAGAGUAUUAUUAUUUUUUAAAGAAUUGUUAUACUUUUGUAAUUGUAAAAUAUGAAUAAGGACACAAUUGUUUUUGAGUGACAAGACGCCACUGUUGUGAAUCAAAAAAAAAAAAAUAAUCAAACUGCAAAAUUGAAAGUACCCCCUCUAUGGCAAGCUUCUUCUCCUGCUUACUCUUCUUCUCGAUUCUUCCUCUACUCUUCUUCUACUCUAAUCUUCUCUCCAAUUCUCUGUCUCUUCUUCCUCACCUAAACCAUUUUUUCUUUUGUAAUUGUUACUUGUAAUCCAUUGCAUUGUAAGACAAUCAUCAAUUAAGGGAAUGAAUGAAUUGAUUUUGGUUGGCGAUUAACUGGUUCUUGUUAGUAAUUUAAUUUAUGUUCCUCAAUUUGGCUGAUUGCAAUUUAUAUUCAGAAUCUUGUGUUUUUAUUGUUAGUUAUUUCAGGUUGUGUUCUUUAAUUUGGAUAAUUACAAUAUCUUGAAUUUAUAGCUGCUAGUUAUUUGGUUGAGCUUGGUUAGAAAAUUAAUUGGUUUUGGUUGAAGUUGGGCUCCAACCAUAACAUUUAUGCGAUGAAACCCUUGUUCUUUUUGUGAUUUCUCUAGACGUUUUGAAUAAUUGAUUUCCAUUGUUUGUGAACCCUCAUUCUCUACGUGAUUUUUGUCGAUGCCAUUAUACUCACUACAAAUUGAGGACAAUCUGUUUGACACAUAAAUUUUGAGAUCUGUUUUCUAAGUUGAUUUACGUUUUUCUUCUCUUCUUUUAUAACUCCUGGGUUGUUUGAGAUUAUUGCGUUUUUUGCCUUCUUUCGACUCUUCAUUAUUGGGUUACAUUAUGGUUUUGGAAGAACUAGUUCUUCUACCCAAAAGUAGAAUCUCCUUCUUUAUGCAGUCCAAACUCAUAUUCUCGAGUUUUGAAGAUUUUACUUAUUCUAUUAAUACUUAGUGGGAUGAAAGCAAUCGAAGUUUUCAAUGUAGUAUAGAGGCAAAUUGAUGCCUUUAAUCAGUUUUAAAGUCUUGUAAUUUGACGGAUUAAAUACAUAACCGUUACUGAAAAUUUGUUGCCUUAUCUUCUAGGCAAGACCUUGGUUUUGGCAGAAUCUUAAUUGGAUCACUUAAUGGCAAUUGGAUUCUAACUGAUUUAGGAGAGGUAUGCUCAUGUUUGUUUAGCCUUUCUUUCAUUUCUUUCUUUUCUGGCCCUAUAUGUGUGUGUGUUUGUAUGCCUUUCCUCAUUUUGUGGCCUUCAUAUAUUCACUCAUUUCCUUCAUGUAGGAAUUUGAUAUUCUUUUCACAUCCUCCUUUGACAUGCGCAGCAUGAAUGGUGGAUUGUAAUGGGAUGUGAUCCAAAAAAUACUAGAUAGAGCUACCACAAUGGAGGAUCAUAGCCAGGUAUCUUUUAGAUUCUUUUGGUGCAAUGAACUAGCCUGCAAACUGUAAGAUGGGAAAACUAUUUGGCCUCUUUUCAAGGAGAAAGAUAAAUAAAUGGAAACUUAAUAAUUGCAAUUGUUUACUUUUAGUUGUUUUUAUUUCUAUGUUAUUAGAGAAAUCAUUGAUAUUAAGCCGUACAAACAGCAUAAUUGAUUGCUGAAGAUUUUUUAGUGUCAGUUCCCUUACGUUGAGUAAUAAGAGCCAUCACUAUAGAGGAUUCUCAAUAAUAUUUGAAGACUUAUACGUUUCUAAUUCAGUUUUUACUAAGCAAACUAUAUUUACUACAUAUCUUGAAGUUUUCCAAAUGAUUCUUAGAAUAAUUUCAAUCUCUUUCUUCUAUUGUGUUAAGCUCUUUUUUAUAUUUAGGGUCCGUUUGAUUGUAAAAAUAGAAAAGGCAAACCAAUUCGAUGUAAGUUGUAAAAGAAAAUUACACCAAAACCAUAAGAAAGUAUUUUCCAUUCAAUUGACCAAAAACAUGCUUUAAGUGUUUGUACAUUGAAAUUCGAACUCCAUUUCCACUUUCUUAUCAAACAACCAAAGUAGAAAACAACAUUUUCCAUGGAAUUUCUUCCAAUCAAACGGACCCUUAGUUUAAUUAUAUUAGGUGCGGUGCUUCCAUGGCUACUCACAAUAGCGUGUUCAAAGACGGGGGGCUCUCAGUCUGCUAGAUGGCCAUUGAACUUGCUGAAUCCAGGUUGUGAAAAAAUUGAGGCCAAAAUUUAAGUUGAACCCUUGGUAGUUUUGUAUUCAUUUUUUUGGGAAAAUAAUUGGGAGAACUUACAACAGGGGACCAUUUAAAGCAAAGUGAAGUACUAAAGUUCCUAAAUUAGCAAUGAUACAUUUUAAUAAAUUGCUACGUUGAUUACAUGAAGGGCUUUAUGAAUUUCCAAUUGGUUGAGAUCUGUAUGAAAAGCUACAGAUAUGCUUCUGAGUAGGCAUUAUACUUUUUAUCAAAAAGUAGGCAGUGCAUAGAUGAAUAUGCCAUUGAUUGUCAUUAACCUUAGUACCUUACUGAGCAAAAUUUUCAAUUAAUUGGGUAACAUUUAUAUGAAUACUGUGUCUGCCAGAAAUAUUAUCUUUCAAUUCAAUUUAAUGGUAUGUUUAGAAUCUAUUGCGUUUGUAAAGGGAUAUUGCCUUGAACUAGUUUAAAUGUUGAGUUCUGUUUAGCGAAGAUACCACCAUUAGCAUCUUUUUCUUCCUUUCAUUUAUCUUCAGAUUGUUCUCCUUAUUAACAUAGUUAUCUUCUCCAAUGGAUUCAAGCAAAAACCUUCAUGCUAUGUUUUUAGUUCUUUUGAUAUUAUUUCUAUGCAGUUGAUGGAUAAAUCUGCUGAUAUUGUUGUAUAUAUGCUUUCGUUUGUUUUGCAAGAUUCAUUUACUCAUCAAAAGAAGUCAAAGGCAACAAUCUGGCUAGGAAGAGGUUAGAUCUCUGUUUCUGGUCUUAGUUUCACUUUAGUUACUUUUUCUUUUUGCGUUGAUGUCUUCUUAUUUGAUUGUUGACAUACGACUUUUGAGGCUUUCAUCAUUUACUCAAAGAAAACAAACUCUAAUAGUAUCUGAAAUCAUUAGUAAACUGGCAAUGUUUCAACCAUAUAUAUGCAUAUUAAAUUUGUUAAUGCAAUAGAGUUUUCCCAAGCUAUUGAAAUCAUUGAUUCCUUUUAUGAUUUUUGUUUGGUGAGCUAUUUGUUUAAAGAUUCAUACUUUAUUAUUAGUUUUUUAUAAAGUUUUUUAGAGUCUUAUAAAUGAAUGAUUUAUGAAGAAAUUAUUUAUAGGCAUAUUGGGCUGCAUUUCUAUGAUGAGUAGAAUCAGUACUUGUACUUGAAUCUUGCUAAUGUUGAUUUACGUUGUAGAAUUAGCGAUUUCUUUUGCGCCUACAAAAAUAUGCCUUUUGUUGCCUGAAUGAUUAGAGAAAGAAAUAUUGGAAUAGAAACAUAGUUAACUUGCCAAUUGCAGCUAUUUUACAAUUUUGUAUCCCAGAAAUAACAACUGGGCACUUUAGUUAUCUUCUGUAAUAGAAUUUUAUACCUUAAAAGUUUGUGUACAUGAUCAUGGAAAUUCAAGUGACCCAAUAUUUUGUAGAUGACCAAUAAAUAAACGAAUUUGAAUUCAUUGCCUUUCACUGGCUGCAAUUGAUGUGAGUGCUUCAUUUGAUGUUUGUGAUUGACAGAUUUUGAAGAAUACUAUGAUACCAGAGGCUCCCAUGUUUAAACCUGAGCCUCCUUUGUAAGGUUUAUUCUUCCACUAUUGGUUAUUUCAUAAUUUUGUAUUUUUAUUUAUUUGAAAGUUCUUAUAAAAGUUAAGUUUGUAAGUCUUUUGCAGCAACAUUUCUAGAAUAGUUCCUUGUACUUCUACUUCUACCUUUUUGUAUAUAUACUAGUCAUCACCACGUGCGUUGCACAAGUUUUGUAUUUAUUCAGUUUCUAUUAGUGUAAAAAUUGUAGAUUUUUUGAAUUCUAGUGAAGGAAUUGGAGAUGUAAACAUUUAUGGUUGAAAAGAAGAAGAAACGCUAAUAUAUAUACACAAAGAAAAGAUAACACAUUUACAUCAAUUAUCGCACAAUAUAACAAAAAAUUUGUAACAUAUUAUAUGCUUCACAAUAUACUCUAUCGCAAUUAACAAAUUAAAACACUAGAGGUUAAUGAAUAUUCCAUCUGAGUUCUAAAUGCUACAAAAAUGAUUUCGAGAUUUUAGUUUGUAGAUAAUACCUCAAGAAUUGAAAUAACCUUUCCUAAGCAAAAAGAAAAAAAAUAAUAAAUAAAAAUUUGCACAACAAUGCUUCGUUGCUCUGCACUCCAAACUCUCCGAGCCCAGAGAGUUUGGAAGUGUUUCUCCAAACUCUCUCCAAACUCUCCGGAUGGUUGACUUUCUUAAGGAAAAAUAAAAAUUUGCAAAGCUGCUCCGUACAAGGUGGGAGCAACCGCACUCCAAACUCGCCAGAGAGUUUGGCGGAACACCUCCAAACUCUUGGCUCCGCACAAAGUGCAGAAUAGUGCUCACACAGUGAUUUUUUUUGUUUAUUCUUCGUUUUUUUCUUUAGAUUAUCAUAUUUUUUUACCAAUUUCGAAAUAAUGUCGAGCUAUCUCAAACAGUGCGCACACAUUGGUUUUUUUUGUUUAUUCUUCGUUUUUUUUCUUUUUUUUUUUUGGGAUUAUCAUAUUUUUUUCACCAAUGUCGAGCUAUCUCCAAACUCUCCGCUCCGCUUGCUCCACACAGUUUUUUUUUUAUUUUUCUUUUUUUCUAUUUUUUUUAGAUUACCAUAUUUUUCACCAAUGUCGAGGUAUUUAACUAUAUACUUGUAUUGACUAACCUCCAAGAUAACAUCAAUGAGUUAAAGCAGCAGCAUAAUCAAGAGAAAUCAACGUUAUUUACCUUUCAACAACAGAAAUGAAAAUAAAAAAAAAUCAAACAUCAUUAAAAAUUCAAAAUCAGAACUCAUCAACUUGAAUGGCUGAAGACGUGAGCUUUUUUCCAACCCAAGUGAUCCAUUAGAACUACUUCAUGUUUUGCCAUAAUUAUUAUCUUGCCUCGUAAAACAAAAUAAAAUCCUUAAUCUUUCAGAACGAUUAAAAUGAAAUGAUAAUAAAAAAAAACUGACCUAGAACCACACAAUAAAAUCAAACUAACAUACAUUCAAUUCAUAGCAAAGUUCUAUAUUUACUUACCAAAAACCCUUGUUUCAGUAAUUUAGAUUCAAAUAUCUAUAAAAAGAAAACAAAAAUAGGAAAAGCGAGGGAAAAAAAUUGCAAAUGUUGUGGACUCCGCACAUGGGGAGACUCCACGCGUUUUGUGCGGAGAAUUUUUUUUUAUUUUUUUAAGCUAGCAAUAGAAUUGCAGAUGAAAGUACUAAUGAAAAAAAUAUAUAUAUCACAGUUAUGAAACAAUAAAUGUGAACCAACCAUAAAAUUAGCAAGACUAAAUGCUCUGUAUUCCAACAAAAAUAAAUUCAUCAAAUUAGCAUCAAUUUACCCAACUAAACUAAGAUCAUGCUAAGGCAAUACUUUUCACGAAAAUAAUUAAUUAUAAAGCCUAAACAAGAAACACAUCCACACACAAAUGAUAAUUAUUUUAGCAUAGAAAAUCAACUUUCCAUAGAGACAGAUGAUUAUAGGAAGAUGAAAGCUAGCAAGGACAAUCGAGAGAAAGUUGAAAAACCUGCACAUAUCUAAAUAAAAUUCAUUAAUGAAAAAACAGAAGAGAGAGAAACUGACCAAAGCCGAAAACUGCCUCUCUGCAAAACAAAGAAAUAGAAUUCAUUCAACUUUACAACAAACUAAAAUAUGCAUUUUCAAUAUGUUAGGUGUAAAGUGUAAUUGGCGAUUCUGUGGACAAAACGAACUAAAUUGUAUAAUUGUAAAAGUCGGACUUAAUUGAACAUUGGUGUAAAAGUCAGGGACUUAGGGUGCAAUUUGUAUAGAUGAUUUAAAUUAGUGUUCGAGUCGUUGAAGGAGGUUAUGAUGUCUAAGAAGAUCAGACAAGAUCAUCGGAAUGCAAUUGGAAGUCUAAAGGAUAUCAAAGAGUCGCACAAAUUAUGUUCCGAAUUUUCAGUCAUAACAUGAAAUGCUUUUUUCACAUAGAAAACGUUGAAAUUUGGAUAAGGAUACUUCCAGAAGAAUUGUAGCCCUUUGACUUAUCUUUCCAACUCAACUUGAAUCACCUCAAUCGGACAUCGGACGAGAAAGUUAUGAUGAAAAUACUGAUGACUGCUCACUGUCGCUCGCUUCUCGCUGGCAUUUCGCUCGAGCGAUAAAAACAGAAUACCUCUCGCUCGUUUCCUGCUGGCUCUCGCUCGAGCGACAGUCCUAUACGGCCAAAACCCUAUUUCGCAUUUUUGAAGUGUUUUACUCGGCCCAUACCACCUAGACGCCUUUAAGUAAAAAUACUAAAGCCCUAGGACGAAAUUUCAGAGAUUGCCACAUUAUUCUUUGAGUGCAUAACAUCUUCAUAUCUUUGUUCAAGAUAUCUAAGGCAAAAUCAAUUGGAAAAUUCAUCUACAUUAUUCUUUAGAUCUGGCAACCAUUGUUUUGGGGGAAAAACAUCGAAUCUAUAUAACCCAAAACACUUACAUCCUUAAUCUAUUGAGGAAGGGACUAUCUCAUUGGAGGAUUGAGAGAGGUGGAUUGAGAUGCAGUUACAGGCACAAGAACAAGCGGUUAUUGGUGUUCCACUUGGUGAUACAAUCAGCUAAGGACCAGGAGGUUGUAGUGGACAACAAAUUGGACUGCAGGAGGUAGAUCGAGAAGUCUAGCAGGAGGUUAGAAGUAUCUACAGCAGUAGAUCGUGAGACUGGAACAACGAGUCUGAUUGGGUACGGAGUUUGGUAUAACUUGUACUUGCUGAAUUGGUAUAGUGGAGGUAACUGGCUUGGUCUCGGAGUUUUACCCACGUUGGGGUUUCUCCGUCAUCAUAUUGUUUGUUAUUUACUGCUUUGCAUAAUAUACAAACUGCGGCAUUCCAAUAUAGGUUAACUGACUUGUAUGAUUAAUCACCAAGAUAACUACUUAAAGUGACUUGUUGCUUUAGUUAGAUUAAUUCCGCACGUAAGGUCAAAUUGGUUAAAGUGAAAUCUAGAACGUAAACUGGUAAACGCUAAAAUUUGAAUUUGACAUUGUAUAGCGUUCCCGUGAACUUUCAAGUGUUGUAGAGCGUUCCUAGAAUUUUCAAGUGGUAUCAGAGCCUAAAAUUUUCAUGCAUGUACAUUUUCACCUACGAGUUUGGCGCAUGCAUAUUUAUUUUUGUCUUUGUCUACUUGACUUUAUUUUAUUUUGUGUGUGGAGCAUUCAUUUUAGGAAAAACGAAAAACACAAGAACAUUGAAAAUUUGAAAAAGACAAAAAUAAUUGGUUAUGGAAAUUUCUACAGCAUUACACAUGACUUAGAGCUUGCACGUUGUAUCAUGUAGGAGCUAAAAUUGAUAAGUUGUAGAAUAAUUUCCAUUGCUUGGUUAGGUCUAGUUGGAUUAAUAUGUAUAAGUGCCUUCAUGUACCAUCUACACUGCACACACUAUGAAUUUGUUAGUAGGAUACUACCGCGUAUGUGAGAUUUGGGAUGGUUGUCACAUGUUGAUGGGGUGACUUUGAACAUGAAUUGACCAAUUUCCGUAGACUUUAACCCAAAAAUUUCCCCCAAUUUUAAAUGCUCAUAUCUUAAUGUUCUUCUUCGGGGCCUAUUUGACUCGAGCAAUUAAGCCUGCGGGGUCUCUUAAAAUCGGGUACCUAUGGUCAACUGACUUGGGUUAACCGGUCUAAAGCUAACUAUAGGGGUCAUCUUAGUCGUCUAAUGGAGAAGAGUCUGCACUUAAGAUGAAAAAUUAAUGAGAUGGAGAAAUGAGAAAAAUAUGAAAAUAUGAUGAGCUGAAAUACUUUGAAAAAUUGAAAAACCAACAAGUUCAUGGUAAAGGGGAAAUAAGUAAAAAUAAUAAGUAUAGGUCCUACUAUACGUUACAUGGUUUGACUCUCAUUAGUAGGAGAACAUACUUAUUAGUAGUGAUUGGCAUGUCCCUUCUCACAUAAUUAAGAUUUGGAGUCCUGCUUGCAUUGGAUCAGUAACACUUUACACACACGAGUCAUUUAUAUUAUUACUCCAUUCUGGACUGAAUUAAGUAUGUGGGGAGUUAUACUACUUGUUGAUUUUGCUUUUACAUUCUAUCAAUUGCAUUUUUUAUUAUUAUGCGUUAUUGCUCGACUUGGCCUUAAUGUAUCUCCCUUCAGCAUUUGUGACAAAAAGGGGGAGAGAAAUGUGUAACUGAGGGGGAGAAAAAAAUAAUGAUUGAGCAUACACAUAUACACAUAGGAGAGCUACUGCAUUCCAUAUCACAUCCAUCUGUUUGAGUUUUAAUGUUUAGUGUUGUUGUUGUCUUGGUUGGUUUAUUGAUUGGUAUCAAUAUCACGUCUCAAACUGUUAUUUUGAUUUGUGAUUAAGAGCUUUAAUUAAUUUUUAUAUUUUCUGUAUCACGUGCUUUUACACUGGGUAUAUGAGUUUGUGAAUUUCAGGAAUCAGGUACAUGAAGGAAUGUAAGACUCAGUGAUUGGGUUUACUGGGUAGUUUAGUUUUUGGUUGUCAAGGCCUGAUUUAUUUUUUAUUGUCCUGACUUCUUUUGUAGAGUUUUGUCACAGAAUGCCAAAGGGGGACUUUGUUAGGUCUAAAAGUGUAAUUGGCGAUUCUGUGGACAAAACGAACUAAAUUGUAUAAUUGUAAAAGUUAGGGACUUAAUUGAACAUUAGUGUAAAAGUCCGGGACUUAGGGUGCAAUUUGUAUAGAUGAGGUAAAUUAGUGUUCGAGUCGUUGAAGGAGUCCAUGAUGUCCAAGAAGAUCAGACAAGAUCAUCAUAAUACAAUUGGAAAUUUAAAGGAUAUCAAAGAGCCGCACAAAUUAUGUUCCGGAUUUUCAGUUAUAACUUAAAAUACAUUUUUCACAUAGAAAACGUUGGAACUUGGACAAGGAUAUUUCUAGAAGAAUUGUAUCCUUUUGAGUUAGUUUUCCAACUCAACUUGAAUCACCUCAAUCGGACAACGGACGAGAAUGUUAUGAUGAAAAUACUGAUGACUGCUCACUGUCGCUCGCUUCUCCCUGAGAUAUCGCUCGAGCGAUAAAAACAGAAUACCUCUAGCUCGCUUCUCGCUGGCUCUCGCUCGAGCGACAGUCCUAUGUGGCCAAAACCCUAUUUCGCGUUUUUGAAGUGUUUUACUCGGCCCAUACCACCUAGACACCUUCAAGUAUAAAUACUCAAGCCCUAGGACGAAAUUUCAGAGAUUGCCACAUUAUUCUUUGAGUGCAUAACAUCUUCAUAUCUUUGUUCAAGAGAUCUAAGGCAAAAUCAAUUGGAAAAUUCAUAUACAUAAUUCUUUAGAUCUGGCAACCAUUGUUUUGGGGGAAAAAAAUCGAAUCUACAUAACCCAAAGCACUUACUUCCUUAAUCCAUUGAGGAAGGGACUCUCUCAUUGGAGGAUUGAGAGAGGUGGAUUGAGGCGCAGUUACAGGCACAAGAACAGGCGGUUCUUGGUGUUCCACUUGGUGAUACAAUCAGCUAAGGACCAGGAGGUUGUAGUGGACAACAGAUUGGAUUGUAGGAGGUAGAUCGAGAAGUCUAGCAGGAGGCUAGAAGUAUCUACAGCAGUAGAUCGUGAGACUGGAACAACGGUCUGAAUGGGUACGGAGUUUGGUAUAACUUGUACUUGUUGAAUUGGUAUAGUGGAGGUAACUGGCUUGACCCGGAGUUUUACCCACGUUGGGGUUUCUCCGUCAUCAUAUUGUUUGUUAUUUACUGCUUUGCAUAAUAUACAAACUGCGGCAUUCCAACAUAGGUUAAUUGACUUGUAUGAUUAAUCACCUAGACAACUAAUUAAAGUGACUUGUUGCUUUAGUUAGAUUAAUUCCGCACGUAAGGUUAAAUUGAUUAAAGUGAAAUCUAGAACGUAAACUUGUAAACGCUAAAAUUUGAAUUUGACAUUGUAUAGCGUUCCCAUGAACUUUCAAGUGUUGUAGAGCGUUCCCAGAAUUUUCACAAUACAACAUGGAACAAAACCUAAAUCAAUUACUCCAAAAAAAAAAAAAAAAAAAAAAAAAAAAAAAAAAAAAAAAAAAAAAAAAAAAUAUAUAUAUAUAUAUAUAUGAAGAAAACACUACUAACCAUGUAAAGCCCAUUUCAUGUUACAUAAAAGGAAAAUUGGAAGCAGCAAAUUUUUUUUUUUUAUUUUUUUUGGGAGGAGGGGAUGGCUGUGAGAAGGAAAACAAAAAAACUUAUUGUCUUACUUCGUACCUAAAAAUAAGGAGUAUAGUUGCCUAAGAAGUAUGGUCGCAGAAAAUAAGGAGCGUGGUUGCAGGUAAAAACCAACGUGAGCUAAACAAGAAAAAGAAAGCAAAAAAAGGAGGAAAAAAAAACUGCUUCAACAGUGGAAUGAGAUUACUUUAUUGUUCCUUGUACAGUGGCUACUCCUUCCCAUUUUUAAAAGAAGUCAGUGUUAGAAACGAAAUGAUAAUACCCUCUAAGAAAAAUUGACCUAUAACCACACGAUAAAAUCAAACCAACAUACAUUCAAUUCAUAGCAAAAUUCUAUAUUUACUUAUCGAAAAUCCUUGUUUCAAUAAUUUAGAUUCAAACCUCUGUAAAAUGAAAACAAAAAUGGGUAAAGCGGGGAAAAAAAGAGCAAAAAAAAAAAAAACAAAGACAAAAAUUUGCAAGUGUUGUUCAUGCAAAAUUUUGUAUUUAUCGUAUUUUUAUUCGCAUAAGAAUUUUAGUUUUUUGGAAUUUUUUUGAAGCAAUAUCUAAAAAUAUUUCUAUGAUAUAAGAAAAUAAUUACAAAUUAUUUUUAUAAUUACAUAAUAAUAUUGUGUCAUCUAGAAAAAUUAUGUUUGUACAUUUCAUGCUUGAACAAGAAAUAUACGAGGUUAUACAAACUAUUUUGCCUGUAUUCUUUGACAGUGUUGAUAUUAUUGAGUUGGAUAUGAAGAUUAUAUUUCUAAAGUUUGUAUACUUCAAUAUUGAAAAAUUGAAGAUUGAGCACAAAGUUGUAAAUCAACUUGCAUAAUUAUAUGCGUUUAUAUUUUGUGCUUCAUAUAUUUUAAUAUUUAUUUUCUGCUUAUGUUGAAAAAAUUAAAAUCUGGAAUUUUUUUAACGUUCGGUUUGAUAAGUGAAUAUACGGUGUUCUGCAUUCUCGGUAUUUAUAAGUGCAAAAAUCGAUAUAUAAAAAUACGGUAAACUACAAAUACGAUAGGCAGCAUAUGUUGUAAGGUGCAAAAACGGUAGGCAGCAUAUACGGUAAGGUACAAAUACGAUAAGUUGCCUGCAAAUAUAAUAGGAUGCAAAUACGGUAAGCUACAUAUAUUGUAAGUUGCCUGCAAAUACAAUAAGCUGCAUAUACGGUAUAUUACAUAUACGUCGAUUUAUAAUUUGUUAUAAAUGUAUAAAAUUUAUUUAAUAUUGAAUUUCUUAAAUACUAAAUGUUGUAAUUCAAUAUUGUUUUCUUUUUAUAUAAUUGUAUUCUCGGGAAUAGAAAAAAAGGUGGUUAUGAAAUUGCUAAUUUUUAAAUGUGUUUUUUUGUUGAAGAUAAAAUUGAUUUUUUAUGCUUUUUUUAAAAAAAAUUAUUGUAAUUUUAUUAGUGUAAUAAGAAGAUUUAUUAUGAUUAUUUAAAAAAAAUUUAACACAUAACAAUGAAUUCAUACUUUUAACCUACCAAUUUGGUGAAGAAUUAGAUGAAAUACACGUGAGUGUUUUUGGAAAAAAGACAAUUGCAGAAGUUUUUAAUAUAUCAAUAAUGCAUGUCACAUUUGAACAAUAUUGUUAAUUUUUUUGGCAUCAUUCUCUCUUUUCUUCACAGAUUUUACCUUUUUCAUUUUUGUCUUAUGUUUAGAUGUUUUGUUAGAUUCUUUUGUUAUUUAGCAAUGAUUCUUUCUUUGAGAUUUUUUUUUUUUUGGUAUUAUAUUGAAGUUAAACUUAUUCUUGUAAUUCUAUUUUUUUGUUAGAUUUAAUGCAGAUUCUUGUAAUUCUAUUUUUUUGUUAGAUUUAAUGCAGAUUUUUAAUUAAUAAAAAUACCAAACUAAUAUUUAGGUUGCAUGAGUAAAAAAAAAAAAAAAAAAAAAAAAAAAAAAAAAAAAAAAAAAAAAGAAGAGAAAAUCUCUCCGCACUAUGCGGAGAGAUCAACUCUCUCUGCACCCUUCGCACAAUAUGGAGAGAUAGUCUGACAUCUCUCCGCACUGUGCGAAUAACUCAACCCUCUCCGCACCCUCUCACCAUCUCUCCGUAAAAUGCAGAUUUUUUUUCUGUUCAUAUGAGGAGAGAUUCUUUUUUUUUUUUGUCUCAUGCAAUUCAUAUAUAUUAAUUUUUUUUUUGUUAACACUGAUGGCAUGAUGCGUGUGUGGAAGAAUAUUUGUAAAUCACAAUAAACAAAAUUCUUCACUGAAAAAAAUUUGACCUAGAACGCUUAGAUAUGCUAGAAAGUUCGACUAACGUGAUACAGAAUCAAGUUCAAAUUUUAUGCAUUACCAAGUUUAUGUUCUAGAUUUCACUUUAACCAAUUUGACCUUAUUUGCGGAAUUAAUCUAACUAAAGCAACAACAUAUACCCAGUGUAAAAGCACGUGAUACAAGAAAUAAAACAAUUGAAACACUUAAUCACAAUUCAACAUGCUAGUUUGAGACGUGAUAUUGAUGCCAAUCAAAACACCAAUCGAAAUACCAACACCACUAAACAUCAAAACUCAAACAGAUAAAUGUGAUAUCAAAUGCAAUGCAACGCUCCCCCUUACCGCAAGCUUUCAUGUUUUGAUGCAGUAGAUAAAUGUAUCUAUCUCUCUCCCCAACGAUACCUAAACAUAGCAAUGCAAUGCAAGUAAUGUCAAUCAAAGAAAUCAUGUGCAUGCAUAUGCAGUCGCUCUCUUAUAUGUAUGCUCUUGAAUUAUUUUUCUCAUUUUCUCCCUCUCAGCUACACAUUUCUCUCCCCUUUUUGUCACAAAUGCUGAAGGGAAAUUACAUUAAGACCAAGUCAAGCAAGAACACAUAAUUAUCAAAAAUGCAGUUGACAGCAUGCAAAAGCAAAAUCAACAAAUAGUAUACCUCCCCACAUACUUAGUUCAGUCCAGAAUGGAAUAAUAAAAAUAUAAGUGACUCAUGUGUGUAAAAUGUCACUAAUCCAAUGCAAGCAGGAGUGCAGGACUCUAAACCUUAAUUUUGUGAGAAGGGACAUGCGAAUCACUGCUAAUAAGUAUACUCUCCUAUUAAUGAAAGUCAAACCAUGUAACGUGUAGUAGGACCUAUACUUAUUAUUUUUAUUUAUCUCCCCCUUACUAUGGGCCUUUGUAAUUUUUCAAUUUUCAUAUUUUUGAAGCUCAACACAAUUUUCACAGUUUUUCAUUUUUUCAGCUCAUUGAUUUUUCAUCUUAAGUGCAGGUUCUUCUCCAUUAGGCUAAUAAGAUGACACUUGUAGCGAACUUUAGGCCGAUUAACCCAAAUCAGUUGACCAUAGGCACCAGGUUUUAAGAGAUCCCUCACGCUUAAUUGCUCGAGUCAAAUAGGCUCCAAAGAAGAAUAUUAAGAUAUGAGCUUUAAUGCAACAGGGGAAGCUUUUUGGGUUAAGGUCUAUCUUAAAUGGUUAAUUCAUGUUCAAAGUCACCCAAUCAACAUGUGACAGCCAUCCAAAAUCUCACACAUGCGUAGAGUCCCACUAACAAAUUCAUAGUGUGUACAGUGCAAAUGGUACAUGAAGACACUUAUAUAGAUUAAUCAAAAUAGACCUAACCAAGUAAUGAAAAUUAUUCUACAGUUUGUCAAUUUUAGCUCCUAUAUGAUCACAACGUGCAAGUUUAAGUCAUGUGUCAUGCUGUAGAAAUUUCCAUAACCAAUUAUUUUUGCCUUUUUCAACUUUUCAAUGUUUUUGUGUUUUUCGUUUUUCUUAAAAUGAAUGCUCUACACACAAAAUAAAAUAAAGUCAAGCACACAAUGACAAAAAUAAACAUGCAUGCACCAAAACUCGUAGGUGAAAAUGUACAUGCAUGAAAAACAACAAAACAAAAAACAAACAAUAUACAUGUGAUGCAUGCAACAACUAUAUGUCAAUUAAGAGCCAAGCAUGCAGCAAAAAUACCUAAUCAAGUAGGAAUAUAAGUGCUCUUUCCUUUAAAAGCACCGCAAUCUCUUACAAAAUUUGGGAGAUCGCUUUUCUUCACCCAAAUCUAUCUAAAACAGGGAUUGUUUCUAGACAGCUGUGUCAUCAGUUGAAUCAAACGAUUCACUUGAUCAGCAAGGAAUCCAAUCUGACCAAUAGCCACCUGAUUUUUGUUCUUUUUAGGCUCAAGUCUUUCCUAUUGUUCAGGUACUGAUGACAUCUAGGGCGGAUGUGACCUAACUCCCCACAGUGAAAAUAUGUAGGGGCAAAGCUAGGACCUAUGAUAUGCUUACGCUGAUUUCUAUUUCUAAGCCGACGGGUCCUACGACGUCUGGUAGACCUACGUCCUAAAGAUCCCACAAUAUUUGGUAUGGGGUUAGUCACAAUGUUUGGCUGGUUAGUAGCACGAACAAAGGUGGUCUGAGAUGUACUAGCAACAUUCAGAUCAAAACCUAGACCUCUCCUAUUACCAGCCGGCUUGCCUAUACCCAGAAUAUUAUCUAGCUUUUCAGAACUGUUAGAAAAAGCAAGUAACUGGGACCUAGACAACUCUAGCUCACUCUCAAGGUGUUUAACCUGAAUAGCUAAGAUCUCAUUCACAAUAGUCAGCUCACUUACUCUCCUAGAGGACAUCUCAUUCUUACUGGUGAGAUCACUAACCCAGGCCUCUAACUGUUCCUUCUCUAGUCUAAGCUCCUUUACUUUCUUGCUCAUUGGCUGGUUAGUGGCUAAGAUCUUGAGGCUUUCCUCAUACAUCCUACCAUAGGCUGUUUUUAGAUCUUGCUCACUUCCACUCUCAUCAUCAGAUUCUUCACUACUAUCUAAGUCCUCUUCCCUAUCACUCCCCUGUUGGAUCCACUUUUACCCCUAACAACGAAGGCAACAUAUUUUCCACUCUCCUCACAGGUGGAUUUCUCACUCUGAUUGUCUGAGCUAGACUCGUCAUCAGUGAGAGUAAUAUUCAUAGCCUUCUUUUCAAAUCUCUUAGCACUAGGGCACUCAUUUAUCACAUGACCGAAACCGCGACAGUUAUGGCAUCUCACGGAUUUGGAUUUCUUCCUAGAUUCACUCGGGCCACCUCUUUGUCUCUCUUGAGGCUUCUUCUUACUCCUAAACAUUUUUUGAAAUUUCUUAGUUAGGUAGGCCAUCUCCUCAUCAUUGGGUGAAUCUGAAUCAGAAGAUUCCAUCUGGUUAUUCCUUGCGGAAUUCAAGGCUAUGGAUUUUUCCUUAGCAAGAUUAUCUAAGGUCAACUCAUAGGUCUAGAGGGAUCCGACUAACUCCUCAAUCUUGAUAGUGUCUAUGUCCUUAUAAAAUUUCCUCAAUAGCUGUGACUUUCGGCCUGAAACGCUCGGGUAAGGAUCUAAGAAUUUUUCUAACUAUCUUGGGCUCGGGAAUCUUCUCACCUAGGUUGAAGGAAGAAUUCACUAUAUUAUUUAAGCUCGCAUAAAAGACAUCAAAUGUCUCAUUAUCUCUCAUCCUGAUUUUCUCGAACCUACUGGUCAGCAUCUGUAACUUAGAAUUUUUAACGGCCUGAGUUCCUUCAUGUGUGAUUUGUAAAAUGUCCCAAACAUUCUUAGUUACCUCACACAUAGAUACUCUAAAUUUCUCAGAGGACACAGCCAUAAACAAUGUAUGUAUGGCCAUGCUAUUAAAGUUACAACUAUCUAAUUGUGCUCUAGACCAGUUUUUAACGGGGGUGGGAAUGACUACACCAUCUACUGUGGUACUAGGGGGGGACCAACCACUCACUACGCUCUGCCAAACAAGCUCAUCCAUGGAUUUAAAAAAUGCCCCCAUUCUAACCUUUUAGUAUGCAUAGGUACUACCAUCAAAGUGGGGCGGCACAUUCAACGAGGUACUCAUCUAGACUAUUUAAGGUCAGGGCACGAUUUUAGGCUCUGAUACUACUUGGAAAAAAAAAAUUUGACCUAGAACGCUUAGAUAUGCUAGAAAAUUUGAAUAACGUGAUACAAAAUCAAGUUCAAGUUUUAUGCGUUACCAAGUUUACGUUCUAGAUUCACUUUAACCAAUUUGACCUUACGUGCGGAAUUAAUCUAACUAAAGCAACAAGUUACUUAAAUUAGUUGUCUAAGUGAUUAAUCAUACACAUCAAUUAACCUAUGUUAGAAUGUCGCAGUUUGUAUAUUAUGCAAAGUGGUAAAUAACAAACAAUAUGAUGAUGGAGAAAUCCCAACGUGGGUAAAACUCCGAGACCAAGCCAGUUACCUCCACUAUACCAAUUCAGCAAGUACAAGUUAUACCAAACUCCGUACCCAAUCAGACCCGCUGUUCCAGUCUCACAAUCUACUGCUGUAGAUACUUCUAGCCUCUUGCUAGACUUCCUGAUCUAACUCCUGCAGCCCAAUCUGCUGUCCACUACAACCUCCUGGUCCUUAGCUGAUUGUAUCACCCAGUGGAACACCAAGAACAGUCCGUUCUUGUGCUUGUAACUGCGCCUCAAUCCACCUCUCUCAAUCCUUCAAUGAGAGAGUCCAUUCCUCAAUAGAUUAAGGAAGUAAGGUGUUUUGGGUUAUGUAAAUUCAAUGUUUUUACCCAAAACAAUGGUUGCCGGAUCACAAGAUUGAUGUAGAUGAAAUCUCCAAUUAAUUGUACAUUGGAUCUCUUCAAAGAUGUUAUGAAUAUCUUUUGCAAUGAAAGAAUAAUGUAGCAACCUGCCAAAAUUCGUGCUAGGGUUUAGGUAUUUAUAUUUUAAGGUAUCUAGGUGGUAUGGGCCGAGUAAAAUACUUCAGAAAUGCGAAAUAGGGUUUUUCCCGCAUAGGAGUGUUGCUCGAGUGAGAUGCCAGCGAGAAUGCCAGCGAGAAUUGAGCGAGAGGUAUUCUGUUUUUUUCGCUCGAGCAAAAUGCCAGCGAGAAGCGAGCGACAGUGAGCAGUCGUAUGUAUUUUUAUCAUAACUUUCUCAUCCAGUGUCCGAUUGAGGUGAUUCAAGUUGCGUUGGAAAGCUAACUCAAAGGAUACAAUUCUUCUAUAAAUAGCCUUGUCCAAAUUCCAACGUUUUCUAUGUGAAAAAUGUAUUGCAAUUUAUGACUGAAAAUUCAGAACAUAUUUUGUGCAGCUCUUUGAUAUCCUUUAGACUUCCAAUUGCAUUCCGAUAAUCUUGUGUGAUCUUCUUGGACAUCUUGGGCUCCUCCAACAACUCGAACACUAAUUUACCUCGUCUAUAUAAAUUGCACCCUAAGUCUCUGGUUUUUACACCAAUAUUCAAUUAAGUCCUUGACUUUUACAAUUAUACAAUUUAGUCCGUUUUGUCCACAGAGUCGCCAAUUACACUUUUAGACCUAACAUUCACAAAUUGCAAAAAUAAAAAAUUACAUCACGCACAGUGAAAUUGGAUUACUUUAUUGUUGUAUCUACAGUAUCGCAUCUUUGCCCUUUUUAUAAGAAGUUAGAUAUAUGAUAUAUGAUAUCACCAUUUAUUUUGAUCAUUUUUCUGUAUGUUGGAAUAAACCCAUUUGCAUUGGCAGCCAUUCCGUUGGCUAUCAAUAUGGUGCCACAAUUCAAUCAUAAAAGGACGUGGAAAACUUAGAAUUGUUUUUGGUCAUUUCACUUUGUUGCAAUUGUUGUAAGUAAAUCUGCCAAAACUGUAUCUUUUGGACAAACCAUUUUUUACAUAUUUCUUCACUCUUUCCCUGUUCAUUCCAGUGCUAGAAAAUGUGGAGGGACCCUUGGAAUUGGAUGUCUAUGACUUUAAAGAAUUGUUGCCCUUGCCAUAUAUAAUGUUGAUCAGGUUCUUCUUUACACAACUCACCUGCAUAUUGAAUCUUUUCUUGUGGCACUUUUAUAGCCUUUAGCCUCAUCAUCUGGAUUUUUGUGAAAAUCUGUCUAUUCAAGCAUUUGCAAAAUCGUAGAGGCAAUGGCAUUUACAAAAAAAUGGCCUCUUUACUUGAGCACAAAGAAUAUAAUUCUUAAGAAGUAUGAUGGCGUGUAAUUUGAUUAGGAAAAUAUUGGUCAAUUUUUAUGAUAUUAAUAAAAUGAAAUAUGUAUAAUACCAUUUAAAUCAAUAUUUUGACUAUUUCAGGUUCAAGGAUAUAUUUCAGAAGUUACAUGAAUAGAAGUGGAAGGAGCAAUUUGAAGAACAUUCAUUAUGGUUCGUUUUUAUAUCUUUGAUCUAUAGAAACUUAAUGUGCCCAUUCACACUGUUCUCUAAGACAUAUAUGCUUCCCCUAACUGUGAGCAUCGAUUGUUUGAUGACACGGUGGCAUACAUCGUAAAGAGUGAUGGUAGAUAUGUGUGGGCCUGUAAGAACUAUGUCAUAGAUGUCCAACAUGAUUUACUUGCACAAGGUGAAUGCUUGUAUAAAUCAAGACAUAAAAAAGUAGAAUAAUGUGGCUAUACUCUCUAAUAUGAUUUGCAAUAUCUGAACUAAAUAUGUAAGUCAGUAGUUUUCUUGACAGUGCUUCAGUGAGUUUUCAUGUAUAUUUUAUUGUUAGCCUAAUAUGUUGAACUGUUCCAAAUAAAGGAUGAUGAAAAAAUUGGAUUUUAUGUUCAAAAUUUAACUGUAUAGUAUGUCACUAGCUACGAGGAUGUCACCCAAAAUUUGAUCAAGGUAGUAAACCUAGGAGUGUAAAAAUUAUAUAAUUUUAGUUUGCUUUUACUGCACUGGCAUUGGUGUUUUUUAUAUAAUUUUAGUUUGCUUUUACUGCACUGGCAUUGGUGUUUAUCUUAUGCGUCAUAUCAAUAGAUCCUUCAGCAAAUAUCUUCUGUAUUUUUCAGGAUAACUUCAAAUUACUUUAUGCUGCAAGGAGUGUCAAGUAUAAAAGGUUGGAGUAACAAUUAUAAAUUCAAAGAGCUCAAGAACCCACAUUAUAGUUACAUCCACAAUUGAGUCCUGGUGCAAGAUAAUAUUAGCAAAUGGCUAUAGUUUCAAUUUGUUCUAAAAAUUAUCUAAUUUUAUACGGUGUAGCAAUCUUCCAUUAUAAACCAUAUGGACAAACACACUUUUUUCAUAGUUUUCUUAUUUUAAUCUAAAGUUUUCCCUCUAUAUUCGUGGCAUUUAAGAUACAUAAAAGGCAAAACUAAGUGAAUAUUUAUUAAUAUAUAUUUUUCCCUCAAUAUCCAUGAACAACAAACCUAUUAGAAUGUGAACUUUUGUUCUUUCAAAUUUUGAAAUUAGUACUUUAUUCAUUUUCUUGCAAUGAAUCCGCUCGGGAAUCCUCAUCAAAUUGCUUUGGUAUUUCUAAGACUAGCAAGAUCAACUUGGUAGACCAGGUCAAAUUUGAAAGAAUGUGCUUGAUGCUGCUGCUAAAGAGCAAGUGGGAAAAUACAUAAAGAAGUCCAUGUCACAAUUUGGGUAUGUGAAAUGAAUAUUUUUAAUGAGUCAUCCAAUGCAUCUUUUUUAUUCUCGUUAUUUUCAGCAUUUAUGGUUUUCUGAUGCUGUCCUUUUCCUUCCAUCUUUUGCACUUAAUGAUCCUUUACCAAAACCAAGAUGUGAUGCUAAAAUUAUCUUAAAUUUAAUUCUGCAAGUAUGUUCAUAGUUGCACAUGAAUAAACAAUUUUGAUAAUAUUUGCUAAUAGCUCUACAAUCAGGAGUGGCUCUUGUUAAAUAUCGUUGCGGAAAUAAGUCAUAAUGGGAAAUCUUAAGACGUUCCAUUUUUUCCUGUCUAACUCAUCUGCUAAGAGAAUCAUUUGGUGGCAAUGCUAAACUCUUCAUUAUCUGUGUCAUUGUUCCGGAUAACAAGUACUGGACUAUAUAAUUUUCCUUUCCAUAAAGUAUUAGAUGUACUUUGGACUUGUGGACCAUGUUCUUUGACUAAAUAAUGGUACUAGUGGUAAUUUUUUUUUUUUUUUUUUUUUUUUUUUUUUUUUUUUUUUUNNNNNNNNNNNNNNNNNNNNNNNNNNNNNNNNNNNNNNNNNNNNNNNNNNNNNNNNNNNNNNNNNNNNNNNNNNNNNNNNNNNNNNNNUUUUUUUUUUUUUUUAUCUAUCUUUUCCACUUAACGCAUGUAAGUGGUGCACGCUUUUUCUAUGAUUGGGUCUACCUAUACACCAUACUGUAUUUAGCAUUUUCUGUUCACCAGUUAGCAUGAAAUUUUUCAAAAUAUUGCACAAAGAUGUAGCUGUGUUACAUGUUUGGUAGGAAUGAUGAAUGUUUAGCUUCCUUGUGCAUUUUGAAUAUUAGAGAAGCCAAAUGAAGAAUCUGACUAAAAAUAUUGGAAAAAAGUUAUAUUUGGAAGUGACGGUUGAAAUAAAUCUUUCUUGGAUAAUCAAAUGAUAAGUCACAAGUGUCAUGCUGGCAGAACCAGCAGAUCUUUUCCCUGUCCCCUAGCCGGGACAGGGAGCGCAUUUGCUCCACAAAUUCUAUCCAAAUGAGCUAAUUUUCAAGAUAGCAUUUGUAGGCUCCAAUCCUCUCAUAGACAACGAAGGAAAUUUGAAGCUUGCAGAUUUUGGUCUAGCAUGAUUAUUUUCAAGUGACCAUAAUGCUAAUCUUACGAAUCGUGUCAUUAUUUCAUGGUACAAGUAAAAAACUUUUUAUCUAUCUUUCCCUUUCUUGCAGGAUUACUGGACAAGAAACUCUUAAUGUAUUUGAUACCCAUGAUUUUAUAUUUGCUAAAAUGUAUCCUUUUCCAAUGUUUAGAACUUUAUACUGCAAUCCUUUUCCAUCUUUAUAUUUAUUCAUGAAAAUUUCAUUACUAUGUCAAAUAUUAUUUGAAUACCAGAUUUAAUUUUGACCGCUGGAUUACUGAUAACUAAAUGGAUUGUAUUAUCAUCUCUAACCCUAAUAGUCAUUUAGGUUUUUUUGAGUGUCUUAUAUAUGUAUUGCAGACAUUUUAAGGUUUUUUUGAGUGUCUUGUAUAUGUAUUGCAGACAUUUUAACCAUCUCUUCAUCAGCACUACAUGGUGGAUUCUAUCUUAGGCUUCUACACCUGGAUAUGAGAUUUCAUAGUCAAAUAGGCUUUUCAGCAUUCUGCCAUCAGUUCUCCUUGGUGCAUUUCAACUCAUUUCUACUAAAGAAUACAUUAUAGAAGUUGAAAUAUGAUGAGAUAUUGUCGAGUAAUUAUUUUUGGGCCUGUAAUCAUAAUAAGCAGACGGGUACGGGAAACAUAGUCCCCACCCCGUUUAAUGUCAAUUUCAAUUUUAAUUUUUAUCAAACAAAAAUAAUAGAUUUAUCAUCAUUUUUAAAGAAAACAUAACUUGUUUUUAACAAAUUGGUUAAAAAUGUAAUAGUAUUUAUUAAGGACAUAAUAAAAAAGAAAAAAAUAAAUUAAAUUAAAAAUAAAUGGGACAGAGGACCUAGCCCACCCCGUUCCGUUUUAACCAGGCAUGUUUAUGGGAUAAUAUAACAAAAAUAUUCUACAAGUCGGGGGAGGGAAUGGCCGACCCAUCCCAUACGCUCCCUAUUGCCAUCCCUAUCAAAAGCCCCAAAUCAAUUAAUCCAGAAAAUCAGGUAUUGUCUCACAGACUACUCACCUUCAACCCCCAUGCCGCAAAAUCAAAAGAAAUUAUUUCAAGAAAUGAUCGUUUCAUAAUAUGUUGCUGAUAAUGAGGCUUAGGGUCGUGAAUAUAAAAACCAUAUUGGAGUAGUAGGUCAGCACAUCUCGAGUGAUGCUAGCUCUCAAGUGUUUGUGUGAUUUCAGACAAUAAUCUAGUAUUUGCAAUUGAUUCCAUUUUUAGGGCUUGUCAAUUUAUGUAGUCUUUCUAAAAAGCCGUGUGAAUUGAUUAAUUAUAAUUUUAAUAGAAGUUGAUAAAAUAUAUAGAAAAAUUAAUAAAAUUCAUGAUGAGAAACAAUGUGUUUAAAAAAAUUGGAAGUCAAACAUUAAGAUCCUUUUUUACCUAUCGGCACUUACUUCAUGCUUGUUCAACCAUUCUUUUCGCUACUGCUUAUUAAUAGUAUAUUACAGCUAUCUAAAUUUAACACUAGGAUACACACCUUCCCUAGAGCAAUCCAUUACACUGUACAAACUAGAUAGAGAGGCCCCAUUACUCUUGGUUAAGCCUUGUAGCCGUCGCCAUAGAGGCUGAGACACCACCAAGACACGUAGUAGGUCCAAUUUGUUCCUAACUUCCGCCUUGAUUACCCCUUCAGCAUCUUAAUCGUAACAGAUGCCAUGCAACCUCCAACAUCGUAAUCUAUUUUAACAUCGUCCAUACUAAUAUCGAUAUGCAUCUUGAUCGAUAUCAUGUCAACCAGAUCAUGGUAUCUCCUGCUGGUCGGUAGCAGAAGACCAAAUGAUUUUGCAUCGCAGGUCAAGAAUAUUGUAGGUUAAUAUCAGAUAAUUAAUCGAGAGGUUUCACGUACAGAUAAUUAAUAUCAGUGAGUGAAAUCAUGGACUAGUGUUGAAGAGUGAUUAAGAAAUCAUAUAUUCAAAUUUCCUUUUUCUUCAUUGAACAAUUUCCAAACUUAUCAAAAGUGAUUCUUGUGGCGUUCAAAAAUUUCAAGUGAAAUUCUUAAAUCUUGAAAUCAAGAGGUAAAUAUAUCAAUUGAUUGUUGGUCGCUUGAUUUAAUAUUUUUUGGGUCAAAUCCAAAACCUUAUUUAUUUGACUUUCUUGGGAUUGGUUCAAUCUAGAUGUGGGUUCUGUAGUCAUCGUUUCUACGCAGGUUUGCAUCGGGAUGAUGUUUCAUCAUUUUCAGCAAAAUAUCAAACUUUACCCUCAACGCAACACACUCAUCAUCCCAGAUUUAUGGUUAUGCAUAUCUUGUAUAAAAUUUAUUUAUUUAACUACCUCACUGUACCAAUUAAGAACUUUGUAUGUUACUAAGUAUUACUCACCUAGGGGAAAAUAAAAGAAAGAAAAGGAUAUCCUAGUUCACUUCCGUGAAUCAAUAAGAUAAAUAUUCCAACAUCACAGAAAUAUAUUAGACAAAGUACUGACCCGUGAUCAUCUUGUUGUAUGUCAGUCGCAAUCUUCAGAUCAAGUGGUUUGCCAUUUAAUGCCGUCGAUUGUCUUGGGGUGCCAUGCAUUUAUCUUCACCAUAAGACAAGGAUGAACAUAAGAGAAAGCCUCUACAUCGAUGCACACGAUUCUAUCUCUCACAGUCGGCCGACUUGAGUUAUAAACGUACAAAGCAUCUAUCCUUCACAUCACAGUGAUCAAAUAUUCAAUGGGCUUUCUUCUCCAUCAUGAUUGGAAUGAUGACAUGAGACUACCAGGUGUUGCAGUGCAUGUAAUCUCCUAUUCAACCAAAGACUUGAGUUAUAACUGCCUCAACAAUUUAAGAUGUUUCUUACAUUCAAAAUAAAAUAUGAUGGGAUUGUGUGAACAAAUAUUACCGUAGUGAUGAAAAUUAGUAAUCAAUGUUACUAACAGUAAUGUGACUUGCCUAUGGCCCUUAUGUGAGCACCACCUUCUUUUUUGUUGCAGUGAUCAGUUAUUGAAGCUUCAAUAGGCCUCUUCAGGUUCAUCUUCCCCGAAUAUUCAGUGUUGAAUUGCACGGCGCUUACAUAUGACGGACGAAUACCCUUUUCCUUUGAAUGUGAUGUAACACUGAUAGACCAAGACCACCUGGUAAUGUGGUGAGACUUGGAUGACGUUCCAACUUGCUGGUUCUUGACGGAACCCAACAACAAGAAGUAACUUCAGUAUUUUGUUGUAUCCUACAGAGCCUAGAGCAAGUAGCCUACAAAGAAAUUCCUUUUGUUUCCAUUUAUGAUGAAAAUGAUGAGAAAAUCUUGAGAUACUCACCUAAUCUCCGAAGACUGAAAUGCAAAUUUGCAGUAUUUUUUGAUUCAUCAAAAAACAACUAUCGCUAUCAUAUCUUGAAUUUCCUUGGUCAGCUGGAAUCCCUCAGCAUAUCUUUCCGUCGAAGUUAUGCUAUAGAUGACCCCAAAUCCCGAUUUGACCAACUUACCCUUGAAUUUGAGAAGGUUGACUCUUAUUGACUUUAAUUUUAGUUUGAAACAAAUGGAGAUAAUUGAAAAACUACGUGAACUCAAGGUUCUCAAGUUACGUGAUAGUACCAUUGAGGAAAAAAAGAUGGGACACAAAUGAAGGCGAAUUCAAAAACUUAAAUUCUUAGAUCUUGAUGAAGUACAAAUAGAGCAAUGGAAUGCCUCGAACGAUCAUCUUCCUAAACUUGAAAGGUUAGUGUUGCGAAACUACAAGCUUUUGGAGAUCCCUUCUGAUUUAAAGUAUUGUCUUUCUCUAAAAAAGAUUUGAGGUACAUGGUUGUAAAAAAUCUGCAUGGAAGAUUAAAGAAGUACAAAAUGAUUACAACAAUGAUGUUGAAAUCAUUAUCUACCACUCCUGACAAGAGUUUUCGUUUUGAUUUACGUAUUUUAACUUUGAACAAAAUUUUUUUGAAGGUCUCUUCUCUCAACAUUCAAACAUAGCACAAUACUUCGAUUUUAUUUCUUGCACUCUGAUGUUCAUUCUCACCAGAGAAUGCAAGAAGUAAAAAACAGAGUACUAUGCCAAGUCUAAAUGUUGAGAGGAGACUUCCAAACAAAUAUUGUUGAAAGCUAAAGUACAUAAAUUAGAACGAAAACUCUUGUCAGGAGUGGUUGAUAAUGAUUUCAGCAUCAUUGUUGUAAUCAUUUUACACUUCUUUAAUCUUCCAAACAGAGUUUUCAACAAAUUUUUGCAACUAGAUAACUCAAUCUUUUGUAGAGACAGACAAUACUCUAAGUCAAAAGGAAUCUCUAAAAACUAGCAGCUUCGAAACAAUAAUCUUUCAUGUUUAGGAAAAUGAUCGUUCCAAGCAUUCCAUAAUUCAAUAUCUA